CGAGGCCGGGCGCUUCCCUCUUAAGGAAGAGGCGGCGUGGUAUUCCACGGGAGAGGUUUAUUCGUGGCGCACGUUAGUGCGUUGGGCGCACAUUAACAACCCAGCCUUCUUUCUUCCGGGGGAGGUUGCGGUUGGGGGCUCCAUGGCCGCUCUGCUGCUCCAGUUUUUGCAGCAAAAGCGAUCUGUUUGCCCUACAUCUUCCUUUUUCUCUAAACCCCCAAUUUUCUUGCUUCUAAAAUCUAUAAACCUAAUUUAUUGCUUUUAAAAUCUCUAAAAAAAACCAUUUGUUUCUCUCAAUUUGUUUUUUUUUCUUGGCUUUUGGUAAAUCCAAUCGGAGUUCAUUGUCCCUGGUCUCUGAUUUUUUUUGUUCUAGUUUCAUUUCCCCUUUUUUUCAGUUUCCACAAGGAAAUUACAAAUUUGUCCACCCUUGAUUUGCAUUUUUCAAAAGGCAAUCAAGCUUUGAUUUUGAAUUUUUGAUAAUAUGAAAAGCACGAUAGCAUAGUACUCAAAGAAGCGAUAUACAAGCAACCAACAAUUCCAUUGGAAAAACGAGAUACAGACGUGAGUUAGGUCAAUUAGUUACGAUAUUAUCACUAUUUCUUUGCGUUCACUUUGGUUAAGAUAUUGUGAAUCAAGAGUAAUUUAGAGAUAUCACAUCGUUAAUCAAACAAAUAAAACAGAAUAGUUGUUUGUAGACUUUAACAUAAUAUUAUAUUUGCAUUUAAAUAAAUGAAAUUUCAUGAUGCCCAUCAAAUAAUUCAAGAAAAAAAAAAUCUGCAGCACUUGAAAAAUGGAAGUGGCAAACUGUUCAAGGCUCAGAGUUCUCGCUUUUGUGAAAAAAUUGAUUGGGGUUGCCAAGAUGUUCACUAAAAAUGCCCGAUGGUGGUGUUGCACAAAUUUGUAUAAAGAAGUUCGAUUUUCUUUGAUUUAGGGCGCAGAGUGUACGCGACUCAUGAAAUAAUGUGGCAAGAGAAAAAUGUCUUCUGAGCUCCAAUGCUUGAUGGCUUGAUUCAACAAGCAUUGCCUGCUCUUGCAUCGUUUCUCUUGAGGAAAUUAAGUUCGAUUCAUCACACGUAAUCGCCUUUGCCAUUGUCGGGUAUAAUACAAAUAUUUGUACCAAGUUUACGGAUCACUGUCUCAUAUGGUCACCUGUAAAGGUUGGGGUUCUACCUCUGUAACAUAAGCGAUGAGCGAUGUAACGAGUAGUUAAUAUGGUAUAUGUAUAAUAACACGAUAAUUUAUGCUCCAUUUGGAUUAAGAUUCGCGCGCAUACCUCUUUCGAACCUUGAUCUUCGAGAUACAUGGCGUAUAUGGCUUUCGUUCCUUUGCAAGUGUUCGUCGAUUCCACACUGUUGGGAAAGUAGGGGUCCGGAAAACUCAAUGGCACGGUUCUCUUCCACAACGGAAUCCUAUAACAUUGUUGAAGGAUAAGUCGUAGUGAUUAAGUGUAAAGCAUUUGGAUCAACUGUGUCAAAGACGAUGGUUGCGUUCUUUGUCCUUACCAUGUCGUUUCCUGUAUCGUCUGGCUCUCCUGUACUAGCAAGUUCAGACGUGUCGAAAGUUCUAAGCUUUCGUAUCGCAGUCUUGCCAGUUCUGUAUCCUUGUUUUAGGUCAAAUGUACUCUUUGCGAAGUUUGCAUCGAGGGCACUGAACUGGCUUUUCGAGCCAUCUGAAACUGCAGAUUUAGUACCAUCCUCUGUUCCCCUUUUUGCCCAUGCAAAGCCGCUUGCUGCUGAGGUUUGUACGGAAGACAAUGUACUGUAUCCUUGUGAUGCAUUCAACUCGCAAUUCUCCGAAACUGUAUCAAAUUGCGGUUUUAGAUUAGACUCUCGGCGCAGAAGCCCUCCUUUCGCCUUUGGGAUAAACGGGUUACCACCAUUGAUUCGACGAGCAGAUUGAGUAUGAUCGUCUUGCCCAUCCUGCACAGUCGAAGGAUAAAUCACUCAGUUAGAACUAGCUUGCUUCUUGCUUCUAGCUUCCAUUACACAAAAACACACGCACGCACAGGCAAGCAAUAAGAGAUAGAGAAAGACCUCUUUUGGUGCCACUUUAGCGGAACCAUUUGACUCGUGCAAGGCCUUACGGACUCUCCUUGGUUUCCUUGUUGUCUCUCGUGCUCGAAUACCAGGUCUUUUCCUGAAAAAUGUAAUACAGCCGUCUAAUUAUGCCUACGUAAACAUUAAAGCGUGGUCUUAAUCUACAAGGAUUACAUUUGUAAUCAGUUCUACGUAAACAUCGCAAUUAGAAAUGGGAAAACACCUGCAGAGUCCCACAGACAUCUGAACUACAACCUUAGUUUAAACGAAGAAUUUUACCUUUGUGAUUCCUCCCGAUUUUUAGCAUCCAUUUCUUUGGUAGGAGGAUACUUUGGCAAAUGUGACGGAUCGCAGGCAUAAGGCUUUGUUUUGAAGUACUGGAAGAACAGAGGCCACGAUAAACAAGUAAAUCAGCAAAGGCAGAAGUUUUAUACUUUAAGAACGUCUCUUCAAACACUGCUGAAAGUAUUUUGCCAUCACAAGUUUCGAGAGUAUUUUCAUGGAAUUUUACCUCGGACAUUAGGGCAGAGGAGGCAGUCCCGCGCUUGUAAGGUUCUACGGAAAGGAGAUUCUCUAACAUGUCUAGUGCAGUAGUUGGAAACUCUUUACACCUCUCCUUAAGAGAACUUUCGUAGUUGUACUGUGGUUUAAACAUAGUUGCGUGAGGAAGUUUUGACGUUUUCCAGUAUUCUUCAGGCGGUGAACCACAAAGCUUGAAAAUUUUGUGCAAUUGUUCGACCUGUAAAACGAGAGGGGAGCUAUUAACUUCAUUACGAAUUCUAAAUCCCAUAUUGUUAAUGAGGAUUGUAUUAAAAAUCCAUAAUUAGAGAAACUUUUAGCGUUGGACAUUAACGUUGUAAUCACCUCAGUUCUUCCUUUAAGGAGAGUCUUUCCUAGAAACAGCUCUGCAAAUACGCAGCCCACGCUCCAGAGAUCCACCGAAACUCCAUACUCAGUUGCCCCCAUCAAAAGUUCAGGAGGACGGUACCACAAGGUCACCACCCGACUGGUCAGCGGUCGCUUGCUCUUUGAGUUAAUGACAUUCGCCAAUCCAAAAUCUCCCAACUUCAGAAUCCCUUCGUUGUUUACCAAAAUAUUGGAGGCUUUGAUGUCUCUAUGCAUAAUACCUCUUAAGUGACAGUGCUCGACUGCGGAAAAUAGCUGCCUCAUAUAACAUUUAAUCUACACAGAAGAAAGACCAACCAAACUUACUGACUUGUAUGGCAAUGUUCAUACGGUUCAGCAAAACUUGUUAGGCAAGAAACUAACCUGCAUAUCAGUGAAUUUGAUCUCGGAACUAGCUACAAGUCCUGCAAGAUCGUGCUCCAUGUACUCGAAUACAAGGUAUAUGCUAUUUGAUGAUCGAGAUGUUAUUAUUCCGUCCAGUUUCAUGAUGUUCGGAUGAUCAAGCCUGCGAAGAAUCAUGAUCUCUCUAGCCAUAAACCUAAUACUCUCCGGUUGAAAAUUGUCAAAACGUACUUUCUUGAGUGCAACAAUCCUCCCAGUUUCCACUUCCUUUGCUCGGAACACACUGCUGUACGUACCUUGUCCAAUCUGCACGCAUUCGAAAUGAACUAAUGUAAAAAAUCAAUGAACCGUAAGCAAAUUCAAAAUCUAGAACAAUGUAGGGCAAACCAUUAGAAACUAACAUUGAAUUACAUCAAGAACCAAAACCGUUACAAGAUUCUUGAAGGCUUGCACAUUUAAACAAACUAAAGAUGUGCACUUUCAACUAGAACAAACACAUUUUUCGAUAGGAGGAUACAUUUUCCACUCGUACUUCGCACUCUCGAGAAACUUGAAGUUGGGGCACAACAGAGAAGAAAGUAAGCAAAUAUGUUUUACUUAAAAGAAUCAAAACCAAAAGUGUGGACGUGGGCGUAGUCAUAAUGACAAUAGUGCAUACGUGAUCCUCUUAUUCACUCCGAAUUCAAUUUAUCACCUCACGAUUUAGAUUAGUUUAAAAUAGUAUAUCGCUCGUAUCAGACAAAAUCAAAACCAACAUGGAUGAAGGAAAACAUCUGCGUGAUGGAAUCUAAAAUGUGAAUAUUAUACGUAAUAAACAUCGCAGUAGCAUUUAUUAGUGAUUAAUUAAUAAUGUCAUUAAAACUACUGCAAAAUGGGAAGGUGAUCAAUCAAAAUGUACCUUUUCCAACUUCUCAUAAGCAUCAGCUUUGAGGGGGAUCCACCCGUAUAUGGCCUCGCCGGCUGCGGCGCUGAGCCAAGAGGGCCAGCCGGCGGAGACUUGCUCAGCCUCCAAAGAAGAACGACUUGAAAAACCCAAUCUGAAGCUAAAGGCACUACCUUUCCCGCCAUUGUGACUAUUAUGGCUGUGAUAAGACCCCUCCUUCUCCUUCCUGCUCUUCUUCGACUGUCUGCCGCCAACGACACUCCGAUCCUCCGACACGUCGCCCGGACGAUGAUUCUGAUUCUGUGGUUCCCUCUUGCUACCACUCUUCUUAAAUUCCGAAGAGUUCGAUUUGGACUUUGGUUUGGAUUUGGAUCGGCUAACGUUGUUGCUGUUGCUGGCAGCGGAGGCGGAGUUGUUCUUUUUUAAGGAGGACGAAGAGGGCUCGAGGAGGACGGAGCCAUUGCCGGCGACGGCGGCCGAGUACUCGUAACAAGGAGACGCCGAGGCAGCCGCCCGCUUGGAGCUGAUGCAACCCAUUUAUCGCCACCACCAAAUCCCGCCAGCAUCGAUCGAUCGGAGAAUGUGGGGGGAGAUCGCCGAGGGAUCGAACGGCGGAGAUCGGGAGAUGGGUCGAUAAGGGGGAAGGGAAGGGCACCCCUACAGCAUUAAGGAAGUCAUUUUCUCGAUGCCAAAAAAAUUGAGAAAACAGAGGCGGCCAUAUUUGGGUGGCUGUCCCAAUGAGCCGGUCGUCCUCCCUCCUCGGUUUUUGCGAGAUGUGCGGGGGGAUUAUGAGGAUGUCGUGACUAACGGUCCGGAAACAGAGGAAGCAACAACAACAUCGUUUUUACAAUGUUUUUUUAUCGACAGUGAUUUGCGUACGUGGGUCCCUGUUUUUCUUGAUAAUUUUUCUCUGGUUUUUGUGUUUUGCUUUUAUUUUUGGGGUUUGUGGUUUGGGAAAAGAGGAAAAGGUGGGAAAUUUAAGAAUGUAACCGUUGUUUGUUUGUUGCUUUCAUGCUUUCACGGUGUUUAGUGUCUGGUUGGAAAAUGGACUGUCGGUCGCACAGUGACAGGGAAGAGAGAAGGAAAGUUUAGAGAGCAAAACUAGUAGGAAGUACUUUCGCACACAAGUGCUUACUUAAAAGUGUUUUUUAAAAAAGCACUUGAAAGUAUUUUCGAGGUGCCUCUCCAGAGAAUAUUUCCAUAGUACGUAAAUGCUUUUGAAUUUUUCUAACAAACAUAGUCAGAAACGUUUUGAAUUGUCAGAAAACACAUUUAGUUGUUCCAAUAGCACGUCGCCUAAGAAACUUUAGAGAGAGAAAGUGAGUUGUGGGAUGAGUGAUGUUGUAUGAAAUGGGGAGGUGAGGGUGGUGAUGGAGAUUGCAGGCAAACUGCCCAACAGCCCCAAUGCUACGUAUGAUUAUACCCAGAAGCAGGGUGUAUAUAAUUAGUCGUGCUGGAUUUUAUGAGUUGGGAAACUAAGCAAAUUUGAUCAAAUAACUAAUUGAUUCAAAUUAUUGUGAGUUUCAGUUUUUUAUUAUUUUGGACGGGCUACCAAACAAUUGAAACCAACCCACAAGUUAUCGGAAAAUUGGGGGUAAGUACUAAGUAUCAAUAUUCAUGUGGAUAGUAUUGGUAGCUCGUUAGAUAAGUUUAUAUGUAAAAGAAUCUCUUUCAAAAUAUUAGUCUUGGACAAUUUGGAAUGGAGACUUAUUUUGUGUAUCACUUCCUAGUUCUUGUGGCACUAGCGAAACAAAAGUAUUUUUUAACAAGAUUUUGUUCUCCCUAAAAAAUUGGUUUAGGCGAAUAUGGUUUCUCUAUAAAUCCCCUUCUAACACAUGUUUUUCUUCAUUGAGAACCUCCUCCUAAGGGAUGGGUAAAGCUUAAUGUUGAUGGAUGUCGCAAGGGGGUGGUCAAUUUCAUUAGUGUUGGCGGUGUCCUCAGAAUCUCGUCGGGGGCAUGGGCCUCCGGUUUUUUGUGCUAAUCUUAGUCGAGGUAGAUUUUAUGCGGUGAAGUUUGGAGUGUUUUUAUUAGGUUUCAACUUGCGUGGAAUAAAUGAUUUAAGAAGAUUAUAGUGGAAUCGAAUCCUGCACUUGAAGUACAAUUGAUUCUAAAUGCAAAAGUGGAUAACCACCCUGAAAAGUUUAGCAUUGACUUGUCAUGCUUUUAUACGCCAAAGUUGAUUUUGUGAAAUUCAUCAUAUUUACUAUAAAAAUAAUUUCGUUGCUGAUGAUUUGACUGUUUGGGUUCAAGCUUUUUUUUAACUAGCUCCUUGUUGUCAGCUGCUAGUUGAAGAUAUAGAUGUUUUCUUGUAGCCUCAUGAUAUUAUUAUGUAAUCUUCUUUUUUCAUUCGGGCUUACGUCCUAUUGUCAAAAAAAAAAAGUAAUAGAAACAUGUUGGAUGUAUUUUCGCAGUCAAAAUACAAACAAUCUCCCAAACGGCAGAUCAGUUGUCCUGCUUCAACUAGUUUUGGUUGCUUUUGUGCCACUCACAAAACAACCCGCAAAAGCACGCACCAAAAAGUGUGAACAUCUCAAAAGCCAGGUAGCUUCGCUUUGUGCCAGUCAAAAACAGCCUAAGAACUUACCUUUACCUGUCUCAUGAAACGGAUGUCUCACAUUUGCUAUCUCAUGAAUGGCACACGAGCUUACAUAUGAGAAAUACAACGAAAAAGAAAAAAAAACGUAGACGGAAAUAAUUGAAAAAAGCGGAGUAGAUUUAAAGCACAUUUAUACAUCAGUUGUAUACUUGUAUAUUCGCAUUUCAGCGUGACGUAAUUCUACACAUAUACGACCCUAUUUCUGUAUUCAAAUUUACAAAUAAUGUCGGGCCUAUGAAGCCAAACCUAUAAACCAUCUACAUGUGCAGCAAUGCAUAUCAACAAAGAUCACACACCAGUGACAUUCACCACGCUAAAAACCUUUCCUUUCUUUAUUCUCCGUAUUCGUUCAUUUUGCAUCGUGUUAGUUGUUGGACUUGACUACUGACCUUUACUUACAUAACGGAUUUCACUGAAGCACUUUAAACAACUAUUUGUUCUUCUUUUAGCUGAAGAAGUACCGGUCUCUGAUCAUUGUUUCCAUAUUCUCUGCCCUUCUGUAGGGUAUGCUGAGGAGCCCUGGACGCGGGUGGUUUUAACAGUGAUGCACUAUUAUUGGCCGUGCUGUGGCUGCUGUUUCUUGCUGCUGGAACAUCAUGGUUGUGUUUGCCUUCAUAUGUAGUGAUGACAGCUUCAGCGUCAGUGGAAGCUCUCUCAACAUGCUUACGGACAUUGCACCCCGCAAACGUGCAUUUGUAAUAGCUCCUGUUAACAAGUUUGUAUCAGAUAACAAGCUCACAAAAAGGAAAUCAUUUCUCCAGUGGAAACAAAAACAUUAGAAUUAAAUUGUUCACAUAUUGCUUAAAUGUAUGCUAAGGAUGUGACGCUCUAAGAUCAGAAAGUAGUUGUUUCUCAAUAAAUCGGAGCAUAAGUAAUCCUGAAUUCAUCCCAAUCCCUAAAGAUUUUCCCCAAUCCAACUCUAUAUAUCAUCUAAUAGUUCUUGAUUUCACCUCCAUCAAUCAAAUAAUGUGCAAAGAAUUCUCGGAAUAAUUUAUUACCCAUUUUAACUCGGCCGAGAAAGAUGCAAGCCUAUUACUUCAUUAAUAGUGAGUAUUAACAUGUAAGAAACAAUGUAGAGAGAACAACCUGCUUGCCCUUGCAUAUAAUGCGAUUCGUAAAACUGAAAGUAAGAAAUAUUUAUAUGGAGGAAGUUACCACCUUGGAUGAGGGUUCCCUUUGACCACCUUUUGCCCGUACUUGCGCCACCUAUAGCCAUCAUCGAGAAGAUCAACUUCACUCCUUGUCUGCACAAUGAUUUUUGGUUCUGUGACCAUCUUGUGUGCCAAAGCUACCUCAGAUGCGCCAACGUCUAUGUUCCUGCGCUCAUUUACAAGGAUACUUUAAUAUUAAGAAGAAAGUAAGGUAAACAAUAUACUAUGAUUUUAUGCAAAAUGUCUUGAAAAAUACCUUCUCUUUGCAUUUGGUUCAUCAGCAUCUCCCUCUUCUCUAGUUUCCCCAUCGCCCAACUCUUCAUUGUCAAUUCCCCCUGGUAACUGUCCAGAAGCGGCUUCAGUAGAUUCCUGAUCCCUUUCAGGUUGUGAGUGAGAAGCUAUAUUUUCACUCAACCUAUUUGAAUCUCCUACCCUUCUUUGUAAUCCGUUUUCAGGCUUAGGCCCAUUCAGAUCACCAUCUUUUGGGCGUUUACUCGGUUGAGGGACUUCAUGGUUAUGCUGACCUUUGUAGAUAAUCUCAGUUAUUUCGCCACUAGGAAUACGCUCGACUUUCUUUUUGACAGGGCAAUUCAUAUGUGUGCACUUGUAGUAGCUUCGAGGAAAUUCACUGCCCUUAACCAGCUUCUGCCCAUAUUUCCGCCAGUUGUAGCUAUCGUCCGCAGGCCUACCAGUGGAUGAAGGUUGGUAUUUCCCAUCAGAAUGAGAUGCCUCUGAGGAUUGCCUCACAGAACUUUUAGUAUCAGAUGUUGAGGGCAAUGUAAGCUGCCGAGAAGCUUCCUCGGGCAUUAAAGAUGGUUGACAUGCCUGUGGCUCUGUCGGGGCUGCUACUGAAGAAGGUUGGUAAUCAGGUUGCAUGUACACACGAGAUUGGGCUAAUGCAGCUUGAGCAGUAACCUGUGCCAAGGCCUGCUGGUGUGACAUUCCAAACGGACUCUGCAACGAUAUGAAGAAAACAUACAUGAAAACCGGAUGCUAAUUCAAGUCACCGACCUUCGGAAAUCAUAUUGUAUCAUGUAGAAAGACAAUACAGAAUAACACCAACACAAGUCUAGUUCCAUAUGGUCUGUCACAAGAACGCAUCAAUAUAUUGAUAUGUUUAACCAGAUUUGAGAAGCUUUUAACAAAAGUACAAUCACAAGAAGCAUUAAUCAGGAAUUAUAACCACAUUACAAGAAUGAACAUGAUUAGCAAUCGAAAAAUCAAAACUAUAUGGGCUCGUUUGGAAGUGCUUUUAAAAAGGCUGAAACUACUUUUGGUGAAAAUCUUUUUGGGAUCAAUCCUUACUAAAAAUGCAAAUGAAACCUAGAAAAACACAUGAAACCUAGAAAAGCACUUGAAGUGCUUCCUACAAGGAGCACGUAACUGGUGCUUCAAGUAGGAAGCACUUUAUGUGCUUUUAGAACCCAAAAACAUCUUCCCCAAAAGUGCUUUCAUCAUUUUGAAAGCGCUUCUAAACAAGCCAUAUAUUUUCAGCACUCACAAGCACAGGAAGCACUAAUAUAGUUGCGCCUAAAAAAGCAACAUCUUUACACAACUUUGGUGAAUAGCAUAGGCAACAAAAUUUAUGUUUUUUGAAGAAAUCGAACUUCCGUUACAUACAAUUUUGUGAAGAAAUUCAUCAUUUCUUAAUACUUAACACAAAAGAAAGCAGCUUUCAGCUUUUACCAACUCAACAGUGACAGUAAAUUUCGUAGAGAUUAAACAAAAUUUACCUGAGGUGAAUAGAAGCCAGGCGAGUUAAGCAACCCAGAGGGGCUGAGUCCCGGCGGGACAGUAAACAAUGGCGGCCGAGCCACCGCCAAACUCAUCGGCCUACUCUGCUUAAACCCAGAACUGCCCUCCCCGCCAUAUUCGGAACCUCCGCCUGAUUUUCCCAAACCAUCAGCUGGGCUAUCGCUAAAAAAGUUCAUCCCCCUUGUGGACCCCACCGGCGAGCCCAUGGCUCCGGCGAGGAGCUGAGAGAAGGACCUGAAAUCCGACUCAGGGUAGUUCUCGAAGAAGCUCGAGACAAGAGUCAUGGGACCCGGGCUCGCCCCAGAUCCGCCGCUGAAAAGGGCCUCCGCGGACGGCCGCGGCGGGAGUGUUAUCACUGGUCUUUGUGGCUGCUUCUGUGGCGGCGGAGCUGAAACUGCGACCCUGUUCGAGUCUUGGGUUUUGGCGGUCAUUGAUAGUAAUAUCGAGCAAUCAAGCAAGCAGCUUUUUCCUCUGUUUCUCUCUCUCUCUCUAGAAUCCUCUGUUUUUCUCUCUCUCUCUCUAAAACUCUCUGUUUUUCUGUGUUGUUUCGUACUGCAGGUGGUGUUGUUUGCUUGGUUUUGUGCUCUGCUCUCAGAAACCGAUUGGGUUUUUUUCUUGGUGGUUUCGUGCGGUGCUAUCCUCAACUUGAAGCGGAAAGUCCACGGAGCAGAAAAUAAAAUUUACAUAUUUUAUUUUCGAGAUAUUAUUUGGUUUAGUUAUGUCCAAAUUGCAAAUUUGCUCCAAAGUGAAAUUUGAGACAGAUGGAUGUUUGGGAUCUUUUCGUUGCCCUUUAACACGAGAUCAAAUCUUCUUCUGCACACAAAAUAGACUAGUCCUUAUGUGGUUUCAAUCACGGACGGACACAUGUUUAUAAAGUUCCCUUUUUUUUUAUAAUUUUGUUGUCAUAAAAUUAAUUAUGUUAGUCAGUAAUCACGGCAAAUCACACUUAUUUUGGAUGCACGAAAUUUGAUCUCCUUGGCCGGCAUCUAGGAUCUAGACCACCCCCCAACGCAACAAAAAAUUAGUCUCCAUAGACACAAGAGUCUAUGUAAUGGUAAACUACCACUUUGAUUAAACACUUCUAAAUCCACGUUUAAUCGUAAAAUAUUUGUAACUCAAGUGAUUAAACAGUUUAAUCGUAAAAUAUUUGUAAUUCAAGUGAUUAAGUGUAUUUAUUUUUGUAUUUGAGUUAUGGGUUUAGAUCUUCGAUCCCCAAUAUUGCUUCUAUCUAAAGAGAAAAUGGCAUUUUGUCGUUGCUAACUAUAAUGAAGAGAAAAUUUACAUGUAUUAUAAAAAUAAAAAUAAAACACAACAAAUGACCGCGAAGUAGCUAGGUUUUGAUCAUAUGACAAACUUGUAUAGACAAUACAGUAGGAUUAUCACGCCUCUUAUUUUCCUUCGCUUCCUGCUCCUCCCUCUCCUCUCACUUUGCUUUUUGUUUUUUUUUUCUCUAUUAAAAAUUCAAUAUAACAUGAUGACGUGAUUUAAUCGUAAUCAUUUAAGUAGGAGAAGAAAAAAAAUGAGAGAGAGAUGAGGAUGGGAGAGAAGAAUCCUCUUCCUUUUUUUUUUGAACAAAUGAUAUUAUUUACACUAAGGGAAGGGGGUGGGCUUAGCCUUACAAUAAACUAGCAAUAAUGUGAUUCAAAUUCGCUUUUUGAUGAGAAUCGAACUUAAAACUUCUCACUUACAAGUGAAGAAGAAUAGUACUAGACCGCAAUAUUAGUGGCUCCUCUUUCUUAAAAUACAUGGCAUGUAACACUCAGCUUUAUGACAUGCAAUGACAGGGGAACCGCAAUAGACAAAGCCCACUCUGAUUUGGUUAUCAUCAUCAAUUGUGUAGCAGACGACGUUUUAACGCAACGGCGAAAAAUAAUUGUAUUAAUGCAUUUCAUGCGAAUUUGAUUUUAGAAGUCCUCCUCCAUUCUACAAACUAACAAUUCGAUCGUUAAAAAAAAGGAGAUAUUUCUCCAAAUUUAAUUUUUUUAGAUGUGUCUUUUUCAGUUUAAUUAUUCUUCUAAACAAAAAAUUCUCCAAAACCAUAUUUUAAUUUUGUAUUUAUCAUUUAUCACCACCCUUUUCUUUUGUUUUCUUGAGUUAUUUUCCAUGCGCAGCCACCACAAUCAUUUUAUUUUGGCAGCCAAUGCAAGCAACCGGCAAUGUGUUCUGACUUUUCGACAUUUUCAAUUAAAAAUUUUAAAAAAAUUAAAAAAGAAAAUAAUAAAAGUAAUACACGCUACGCUUCCAUUUUUUUAUUAUUUAUAUUUUUACACGUAUAAUUUAAUAAUUAUCAAAACAUUUUUUGGUUUUCUCAACCGACAAGUAAAUGAAGUGCUGCCGCAAAGAACAUUCUAGUAGUCAUAUACAUUGAAGAAAAUUCGAAAAUUGACAUUAAUAUUUUAAUAAUUUGAUAAAAAAAAAUAUUUUGUUAAUACAUACAACUACGUGUGGAGUGUGGAUGCUUAAAUUAACUUGUUGACGUACGCAAGCUAUGAACAUGAAUUAAAAUUUGAAAAAAAUGUCAAUUUAAGAACAGCUGGAGUUGCAAGUGGCCAUUUAUAACAGUAGUGGAAAUGAGUAAGAUGUGAAAAAGAGAAGUGUAAGAGGUGAAAAUGAGAGUACAAAAAUCCCAUUUAAAAAAUUUAAACUACAUGACAAUGUAUAAUCAAGUUUGCAAUUCUAAUUAUGAAAAGAAGAACUUGAACUUAGGUGCAGAGGAACCCACGACUCACAUUAGCAUGACAAUGCAUAAUUGAGUUUGCAGUUCUACAUAUGUCACAUAUGACAAAUAUUUAGCUACUUAAGGAUGAGUAAAAACUUAUACUCAAAACUCUUUGAGUUCGAAUCACAUAGUUUUGUGCUUAUAAUCAGGGGCAGAGGCACUCUAAGGCCACCAUAGGCCAAGGCCUACCCUCACUAAGUAUGCCCCAACUAACCUUUCUAAAUAAUUAUGUAUUAUAUUUGGAUAAACUUAAUAUUAUACUUCUUUUGGUUUACACAAAACUCUUAAUUGCUAUUCACUAAUAGUUAAAAUAAGAAGUCUCUUUUUCUUUUGAAUCCCAACAACACUCGUCCUAAAAAUAAAUUUACAACCUUAUUUUAUAAACAAAUCAAUAGCUCUUAAAAUUAAAAUCUAAAGUCUAGUUUAGUUUUAUCAAAAAAAUAUUCUUUUACAUUACCAACUAAAGAAUAAUAAACUUUGAGUUUCUCCUUCUCCACUUCUUGAAAUUUUAUAUAUUUUAUCUUUGCUCUCUUUAACUUUUUACUAAAUUUUUAAAAUUUCAUAUAUUUUGUUCACCAAAUUCCCAAUCCAUAAUUCUCAUUUUUUGUUCGGAAAUUCCCAAUCUAUUCUAUAUUGACUUGGAGUGAUGCUAUAGAUAGCUUCUACUUGAGCCAUAUUUUGUGACCACAUAAUUGUAUAGUACUUAAUGGUUGGAUUACUUAUUUAAAUAACCAAAGAAGGAAUUCAAUCAUCAACGGGGUCACAUUAUGUGGUUUCUAAAAUAUGGUCUAAAAAUAUAGUAUCCCUAGCAUUUUUCAUUGACUUGAGAAUGGAAGGUUAACUUCGACAUAGAAAAAACAUUUAGAGUCUCAAAAAUAAUUAGCUCACAACUCCAAGCAUGCAUUAUUUAAUUUUUUUCACAUUUAUGUGAGGCCCCUCCUCACCUAAAAUCCUGGCUCCGCCACUGCUUAUAAUCAUAACCGUUUAUAUAUGAAUCACUCUGUAAAUAUCAUCUUUGUCAAAAAAUAAAAAAAUAAACUAAGAUCGUUUAGUCAAUUUAUUAUAGCAAAUACAUAGAUAGUUCGUAAUGCUUUUGUCAAUUUCGUGUAUCUAUUUUUAUACAGUUCAAUAACUAAACGACCUUACUUUUAAUUGAUUUUUUUUUGUAGAAGCAAUCUUUAUAAAAUAACCCAGAAGUAUAAAGUAUGGCAACUGUACACACUCCCAUACCAGUAAUAGAAGCAGAAAGGUGGGACUUGGAGUGGUUGCAUUAAUCUUUGGUGGGGAUCUUGGAUUUUCAUACUUUUGGUGGUUGGGGGCAACAACGGCAACAACGGCAAGGGGACAUUAUCUCAAGAUUUUCAACCAAGUUGUGCUUCAUCAUAUCAGUGAGUGAAUUACAACAUGAAGUCCCCAACACGUGCUGCAUAUUGUCAACUUGUACUAAUUUUUGUGAAGAAAUAUUUAUUUCUGGUUCAACAAAAUCAAAGUUGUUUAUCCACAAAUUUCACUUUUCCUUUUAAAAAAAUAAUAAAAAAUAUUUAACGACGAGGAUAAUACUUGAUUCCUUCUAAAAAUAGGAGCUCCUACUUUCCAUCUAAUAAUAGUUUGACAUGCGAAUAGAGAUUUUCCUUUCUGUGAUUUUUAUGGGAUGUUUACGUAUACAUGUUAAACUUUGAUUUAUAGGAAGGAUGAAUGACUCUUUGCAGGGAAUGAGCCAAGCAAUGUCCCAAUAAUAUAAAGUUCGUUUGAAACUACUUUUAAAUGGUUGAAAACGUUUUUAAUGAAAAUGUUUUUGGAAUCAAUUCUUUGUCAAAAUACAAGUAAAUCCUAAAAAAAAAAAAACACUUGAAGUACUUUUGGAACCAAAAAUAUUUUCCUUAAAAACAUUUUCAGUCAUUUUAAAAGCACUUCAAAGGAGCUCAUAAACUAAUGUAAAUUUCCUUUAGGAAUUGACAUAUUGGGAAAGAUUCAUAGACAAGUUCACCUUUCUUCUAAAAAUUUACCUUUUAAUGGCAAAAUGACAUACAAAAAUUGUCUCAAGACUUUCGACUCUUCAACUACUUCAAGGCUUCAGGCAAAUACAAAUUGGCUCAUCAAAUGGGGGUUCUAAAGAACGGUGCAAAACCAUCGAUGGAAGAAUCCAUUGCCCUUUCAAAAGGUAUGUCUCUACGGUGGAGAUGGAGUGAUCACAUUUUAGUCUCGUGGAAGUAAGUUGUGGAGACGGCCUGACCUUCAACAUCGUAAGUGCGAACCAGUCUCUGUCUCUUGCCAAGUCCCUCAAGCCAACAGAACUCCAAAUGGAACGACAACGAUUCUGCAACAUUGUUUCCUACCUCGCACGGGCAUCCCAUGUACAUGCCUCCGGGCAAUAGAGUCAUCUGAUAACCUCCGUUGAAAGUAAUCAAGUUGUCCGACUUGAUCCCCGUCCAAGGCACAUUAGUUGUAACAUCACCCGCAGCGGAGGUGGAAGUGAUGCCCUGACAUAAUUCAUGAACGAUGAGAAAUGAAACGACGAAGAAAAGACUCAAUGAGGCAUUUUGAUUUUACGUUUCAUGUUCUCUCAAGAGGGAUUUUCUUUGAGUGGAAGAUACCUGAAUAACGUGGCCGUUAUCAUCCAUCUCAAGUGUUGCUACUAUAUCAGCUUCAGCCAUUGUUGAUCCAUAAACACCACUUCGUUUUGUUACGGAGUGACCUUUCCACGUACCAAGAAAUGGCACAAUCCUGUCUGUGUUUUCCUGAGACCAUUCAAGGAAACUUAACUAUAUGCAUCACACCGAAAAACAAAUACGCAACUAUAAAAACCAAAAUUUCGUUGAUACAAGCCUUCUUUGUGAAACUUACCACGUUAUUGUCGAGGGCAGGAGGAAGAACUGCGCCAUCUCCUCUUUCCUCCAGGAAGAUGAGAAUCAUUUCGAUAAUGCCUUUAGGGUCCAUGAUGUGGAAAGCUCUUACUCGCAUAUCCUUCUCUAGUGAAUGCAGACAACUUUCACAUACAAUAGCAGGACGAUGGGAAGGGAGCUUUAGAUUUCUACACGAUGAACAAAAAUUGAAGAGGACAGAGAUCAACAUAUAAUUAUGAAAGUAAAGAAACAAGAAGCUCAAUAACAAAAAACAUAUUGACGAAAUGCACCUUAAUUCAUCACACCAAUGGACAAGAAACAUGUUUUUACAGUGAGUACAAUAAUCUCAUUGUGUAUAGUUACAUCGGUGAAUCAUAAAGAGCGUCAUCUGAGGGAGCAACCACUCACUUUGGUGAUUCUUCACCGGCGUCAUCUUCCCCAAGAACGCCCUGUCUCAGCACUGUUUCUAACAUGCCAGCCGUCUGGUACCUUAGCGAAAAUGCUUUCUCAUUGGGGAAGAAGCCAAUCUGCAGACUAAUCACAACGGAUGUUCAACGAAAAACAAUUCAUCACAAAAUUUGUUUCUAAGCUAUAUCUUAACGGGGCAGAAACCGAUCAGUGAUCCAAUCCCCAAACACUCUGAAAACCUCACCUGCUGAUACUUGUCCACCGUGAACAUGUUCGUUUCUUUAAUUUUGUACUCCGCCCACUCCACCUCCUCAUCUAAUUCAGAAAAUGAAGUGCUUGAUGGAGCUUGUUUAAUAUAUAAUCUGCAAAGCACGAUAUCAUUAAACCAUCAGAACAAACUAAACAUGCUCACUAAUAUUCAAUAAACAAAUUUAAUUUCGACCAAUCAUAAACUUUUCGCUUAUCCGAAGCUUACGUUUGAAUGAGACUGAUGAGUUCAUCUUCCCCAUAAGAGCUAGCUGCAAGCUUUGUACUCACUUUAUGCAACAGAUUCCCAACAGUAUCAAAUUGCUAAAAUAUCACUCGAACUAAUUAAUAAUCUGAACUAAUCAAACACCAGAAUUCAUAUGAUUCCUGUUAUCUGAACACACAUUAUCUGUUUGGCUACCCAGAAAAUGCAGGAAUAAAAAUUCAAUCUUUCAUUAACUAAUCCCAGAAAACCAAAUUAAACAACAACCCAGCAAGAUUUACAUGCAUUUUUCUCAGAAAGUUGAGAAAAUUUCAGUCUUGCCAAACAAAACAUAAAACAAAAUCCCAUGUAAAUUUUUCAUUUUUUUUCCUGCGUUUUCUCAAUCAAACACAUCCCAAAUUUUAGAGACCAAACCAGUUACUUACAAAGAAGGAACCUUGCCAAUUUCCCACGUUCAGAUUAACGAAGCCGCAAAGAUUGUCGAUGCUCAUUGCUUCCUCGCUGGGCUUUCGAGCUUCAUCUUGGACUGCGGUGGAAGAAGACAAGUUGGAAGCUCGGAUUCCGGGGCUCCGGAUUGUAGCAAUGGAGCGAGAAAACGGGUUCGUGGUGUAAAGGUUGGUGGGUAGGAGUUGGAUUUUGUUGAGGUUUGGUGGGUUGGGGAUGGGAGGGAGUGAAAGUGAGUAGCAGUAAGUGGAAGCCAUGAAAGCAAACUGUGAAGAGCUCAGAGCAGAACAGAGGAGAAGACGCUGCGCUGUUUUAUCAUCUGAUCUCAAAAAUGGGCUUUAAAGGCCCAUGCUUUUUUCCCCUGUAACUAUUUGGGUAAAGCCCUCUUCAAAUCAAAGCAAUAACAUAGGGGUGGUUCGGUAUGGGAUCCCAUAUCGAAACCCUUGUUCCGAUUCCCAAAUCUAAUUUUCGGGAAUUCCAAUUUCGAUCCCGAUCCCAAACCAAAUUUUCGGGAAUCCCAAUUUUCGGGAAUCCCGAAAUAGUUUCGGAAUUUCGGGAAAAUCGGGAAUCCCAAAAUAGUUUUGGGCUUUUGGGCUUUUGGACUAAAAUUUGAUAUGGUAUUUGGGCUGCCAAUCUGUUGAAUAUAACCAUAUAGACACAAAUCUUUUCUUUGUUUUUGUUUUUUAAGGAGAAAUUUUGCUAACUAACUAAAACAUGAAAUGACAUAGAGUUCUCAACAAAUAAAACCAUAACACAAUCUGUGCAGUGUGCAGUGUGCCAAUCUGUGCAGUGUGCAAAUCUGUGCAGUGUGUCAAUCUGCCCAAUCUGUGCAGUGUGCACAAAUCUGUGCACAAUGACAAUAGCACAAAUAUGUGCACAAUAACAAUAGCAUAAAUCUGCCUAUUCAAUUUCUACUACAAAUGCAUGCAAUAAAAAUAAAAUUAAGUAACAAAUCCAAAAGCAAAAAAAUUAGUUACAAGCCAAGGUUUUAAAAUAAAUAAAGUAACAAACCCAAAAGAAAUACGAGCCAAAGUUUCAAUAAUUAAGUUACAAACCAAAAGCCAAAAAGCAAAGCUUAAAGUUUAUGAAGAUUGUUGGCCUCUUCGGCCCCUAGAUCUUGUUGAUGCUUGUGGUUGCUCCCUUCUUGUUGGUACUUGUGCUCUUCCCCUUAAUGUUGAUGGUUGAGCCAUUCCCCUUACAAUGGAUGGUCGUGGAGGUAGUGAUUGAUUUUGACGUUAUUGAACUUGAACUUGAGGUAGUCGAGGAGGUGGAGGUGGCAUUUCAUUUUCUUGUGUUGUAUUCUCCUCACCUCCCAAAUUAGCCGUACCUAAAACAAUAAACCACAAAUCAUUUACAUUGAAUUAUAGUCUAAUAGAUAAUAAAUACUAAGAAAAUAAAAGAGGAAAUUAAAUUGUUUACUUACUUCUUUCUAAGCGUUCAAGCUCUUGGUAGAAAUGGAAUUCGUCAAGUGUAGGCUCCUUGUAGAAACAAAAUUCCUUUCCUCUAAGCCAAUUACUAGUACACACUAAAGCCUCAACCGUUUUAGGUGUUAAGGAAGUUCUAAAAGGAUCAACAACUCUCCCACCAAGACUAAAAGCAUUCUCACUAGCAACGGUGCUACUAGGAAGGGCCAAUACAUCCUUAGCAACUUUACUAAGAGUUGGAUAUUGAGCACAAUUUCCUUUCCACCAAUCCAAAAGAUUGAAACCCUCAUAUGUUAGGCUUUGAUGUGGAUCAUUGAAGUACAUAUCCAAUUCAUUGGCUAUCUCAUUUUGUUGUGCCUCCGCUCUCUUUUGUUGGAUCUUCUUUGCCAUCCUUGAAGCUACAUCAAUAUCUACGAUCACACCCCCCACAUCAUCUAGUACAACACUCGAUCUUUGCUCCACAUUUGAGGUAGCACUACUACUAGUACUACUAGUACUACUACUACUAGGGACCACAUUUGAGCUACAUGUUAGUUAAACGAUGGGGUCAACUUUCAUUUGCGAACGCAAUGAUGAUACGUUUAUCUUGUGAAAUAUUUCCAAGUAGAAACAAGUAAAUGGGUAAAACACGACAUAAAUUUGGAAGAGAGAUUUUAAAUGAGCUUAUAAAUCUAUAUGUAUUCAAUGGAAGUCUACGGGGUAUAGAUUUUUAAAAAGUUUAUAAAAUUCUAUGAAAAUCAGAGUAUAUUCAUGUUUGAAGUAGUUCAUAAAACUCCAAAUGUAUUCAAUUAUGAUUGGGUUUUAAAGUAUGCUUCCAAGGAGAAACAAGUAAAUGGGUAAAACACGACAUAAAUUUGGAAGAGAGAUUUUAAAUGAGCUUAUAAAUCUAUAUGUAUUCAAUCGAAGUCUAGGGGGAUAUAUUUUUAAAAAGUUUAUAAAAUUCUAUGAAAAUCAGAGUGUAUUCACGUUUGAAGUAGUUUAUAAAACUCCAAAUGUAUUCAAUUAUGAUUGGGUUUUAAAGUAUGUUUACAAGGAGAAACAAGUAAAUGGGUAACACACGACAUAAAUUUGGAAAAGAGAUUUUAAAUGAGCUUAUAAAUCUAUAUGUAUGCAAUGGAAGUCUAUGGGUAUAGAUUUUUAAAAAGUUUAUAAAAUUCUAUGGAAAUCAGAGUGUAUUUACAUUUGAAGUAGUUCAUAAAACUUCAAAUGUAUUCAAUUAUAAUUGGGUUUUAAAGUAUUUUAAUAAUAAUAAAUUUUGAUGGAUUUAGAGGAAUUUUAUAAUGUUUUUGAGGCUUGAUAGAAUCAGGCCUCAGCCCUUAUUUUUUUUAAUGAUUUCACCAAAAAUUCACGUAUAUGUUAAACUCCAUGAAUUUAUAACUAUUUUAAAAUAUUUCAAAAUCUCAAUUGAAUACAAACCAUUAUCCAUUACAACUCAUUAAAUGGUUCACAAUCUACAGAAUGAGAGAUUUUUCAGUAUGCCGAACUAUGCGGUACACAAGUAUAAUAAUAUAAUUGUUUGAAAAUUAAAACAAAUUCUAAUCAAAUUAAAUUAACACAUGAUGUAUCGGCCUUUGUUCCCUACACACUGAAAUAAUUCUCUUACCCAACAUGUUUAAUGAGUCGUUUGUUAAUGUUUUUUCCGUUUCAAAAUCCCCAAAUAAUCUCUCUCGCCACCCACUCUCUGCUGCUGCUGCUCUCUCUCUCUCUCCCUCUCCCUCUCCCUCUCUCUCUCUCUCUCUCUCUCUCCCUUAAACAAAGUAGAACAAAAUAAUACUACAUGAUACAUCGCUUUCUCUCUCAGACAUAAAUUUUCAACGCUCAAAGAUCUCAGCGAAGUCUUGUUAAUCAGGAGAACCCAUUACAAAUGGUUCUUGCUAGAAAAAGGAAAUAAAAAAUAAAAAAUAAAUAAAUAACAUGCCAAGCAUUGGGCAAGCUUAGAAAUUCGCAAGGGAUAAAGAACACCAAAAAAUUGCAAAUUGGAGUUGAAUCUGGGUAUGAAAGUUCAAGAAUUUCAUUCAAUUCAAGGCUACAAUUAAAUGCCUUGCAUAGCCUUGCACCCAAAAGAACAUACAGAAGAUCCUGAUCACCACCACAUAUAAUUCGCUUUUACAUAUAACUAACUAGCUAGAGCGUCCACAUUAAAGCUAAGCAAAGCGCAAUGGAUAGAAACAACAUCUCAGCGGCGGAGGAGGUUAGUGAAUUUGGAGGACAAGCCACACUUGUAGCCGGAGCAAGUGCUGGAGCGAGUUCUGGAGCAGGUGGGAGCCCAUCGUGGACGGUCAGAUAAAGCUUCAUGCCAUGCCAGCAGUAACCUCCGCCGGAGAGGAAGUAAUACGGCCUUGCCUCUGUGAGUUGAUACACAUCUCGCCCUCCCCGGGUUAUGUUCUUUAUGAAGCCUUGAUCAUUGCAGUUCUCGUAGCUCGUCUUGUUCACCUCCAGAACAUUGUAGUACCUCUUGUCAAAGUUGAAUACUUGAAAACAAAGCAAUGUAUGCGCAAAGUCAGUAACUUCUAAUGCACAACUAAAAGAAGAAAAAAAAGGACGACCUCAAACCAACAAAAUUGUUUCUAAUUAUGCAAUUUUAUCUUUGCUUUACAACGAACAACGUUUUGGUUGCGUCAAGGCUCUUAUUUCUCAAUAUAAUUUAUCAAAAUUUUGAAUUGAGAAUUGUUUUAGAAGAUGUUAAAUACACAUAUAUUUUGUGAGAGAGAGAUGAUGAUAAACGUACUGAGCCAUUCGCCGACGUAAACCUGUUCAUUUGCCGCCCACUCAGUGUAAUUGACGUUCUGAUCCCAACCCUGUUUGCCUCCCACCUUAUGCAGAAUAGCGGUUGCAGACGCCAUUAGCCACCCCAUCGUUAUUACCACGGCCACCAUCACUCCCGAAUUCAUCAUCCGCAUCGCUUAACUUCACACACUAAUGUCUGCUUUCUCUGUAAACCCUAAUUUAUAACUGUUUGGCAAAUAAUGGUGAUGGUAAUGGUGGUAUUUAUUCGGAAGGUGAAGGGACGAAUGGUAAUCUGCCUCGAGAGGAACGUGGGGGUUUUCUUUUCGAGCUCAAAGUACGAGGGUGUGAGUCAAGAUUACGUAAUGGUUACUUACACACUUGCAUGAGAGACACGAAGGCUUUUUGGUUUAUUUGGGUACGUGGCAUGAGGUGAUUGGUGGUUACAAAUAAGUUGGUGACAUUGGUGGGGUCCAAGUCAUCUCAACUCCCAUCCUACAAAGAAUGUUUCAGAGCAGUUACAAUCGUUACACUUGCUCGACUGAGACUGACUGACUGAUUGAAUUUGAGGAGAUUUUUAUUAUGCUGCAUAAAAUAUGUAUGAGAAAUGCUAAAAAGAUUUUUUCAAAUGUGUAAUUAUUUAUAUAAUUUCUCUGUGAUUUUAUAUUUUUUGCAUAAUGUUUUAUUAUGUUGGUAUAAAAAUUAACGUUGAACUGUGAGGUCGUAGAAAAUCUAUAAAGAAUCAUACUUUUGAGUGUAAAAUCAUAAUUUUGGGUUUCAAACAUCCAAAUAAGUUACCAUAUCAAAAUUAAUAGCAGGCCUAAAAACCUUUAGACUUAUGCUCAAAUUUGAAGAAUAAUAAUUGAUUAAAAUAAAAUCAAAAGUUUUGGUUUCCAAAAAUUCAAAUGAAUUAUCGUAUCAAAAUUAAUAGCUGGCCUAAACGCCCUUAGACUUAUGCUCACAUUCGAAAAAUAAUAUGAUGAAAUGAAAGGACAUUACAAUUAUUUUAUAUAUUGUUUAGAAGUUUUUAAUUGUAUUUCACAGUUUUUUAAGAGUUAGGUUCUUCGUCAAGUAUACAAUUACAUUAAUUUAACAGUCAAAAUUUUCAGAGUAAGAUACCACGGAGUGUAAGAGAAGGAGAAUUUCUGAAGUUUGGGAGUGUUUUGAUGUUGGUAUUGUAACUGGUUCAGUGCAGAACAAGGCUUGUAAGGGGGGGGGGGGGGGGGGGGAAGCAAGCAACCUGCUGCAAAGCAAACAAACAGAUUCUUAAAAUUUGAUUUUGGUUUGAUUUUGAAUUGAUUUGAAGAGAGAAACUAAAGAAAAGUAAAAAAAAUUAAAGCCUGCCUAAUUUUUUUUUUUUAAAAAAAGCAUUAACAUAAAGCAUAAGAGAUAGAGAGAGGAUGAACUUGUACUGUAUCAAAUAAAGGAAAAGAAGGAAGAAUAAAAGCAAAUUUGAUCCUACAAAGAAACAAAGAUAGCAAGAAAAAAAAUUAAAAAUCUAAAAAAAAGACUAAAGAAAGUAAACAGAAAUUCUGUUUAAAAAAAAAUUGAAAUUACUAUUGUUAAGAAGACGGAGAGGGUGAAAAACUAUUACAUUGAUUUAAGGGAGAAAGAGUUUCGAACCUGAGACUCAUGAAUAGAAACCCAACACCCUAUCCACUAGAAUAUUGAACCACACGAUGGGUAAACAAAAAUUAUUUCUCAACAAUACUAUACUUUGAACCACUCUAAUGUAUAAAAAAAAAUUUGGUAAGUCUUCAAUAUUCCGAACUACUAGGUAGUCCAGCUUUAUAUUCAUUCGAUUAACAAGUAACCAAAAAUAUUUUUUUUACAAUUCAAUCAUAACCAUCAAUUUUCCGUACUACUAAGCAGUCCGAACUAUUGAAGAAAAAUUAAUAAAAAACUGAGGUUAGACUUGUAGAAAAAGGACGGACACACUGCCCUUAGAGCAAUUCCAGUGUUGCUGGUUGCUCGGGGGACAGGCAAGGAGAAAGGGCCCGACGGCUGAGGGAUGGGGAUCCAGCGUUGUUGAUUGCUCGGGGGACAGGCGAGGAGAAAGGGCCCGAGCGACAGGCCCGGCGGGGAUUGCCAGCCCGAGAGCCUGAAGGCUGUGUGACGUAUGGCUGAUGUGCGGCAUCGGUGCAUGCGCUCGGUGUUCUCUGCGUCCUCCUUCCUCCUUCCCCUUCUCGCCCUCCUUCCUCCUUGGUGUUCCAUGGCUGCUGCUGAGAGAGAGAGAGAGAGAGAGAGAGAGAGAGAGAGAGAGAGAGAGAGAGAGAGAGAGAGAGAGAGAGAGAGGACCGGUCCUCCUUCCUCCUUCCUCCUCGUCCUCCUUCCGCUCCUCGUCCUCCUUCCUCCUCGGUGUUCCAUGGUUGUUGCUGUGAGAGAAAGAGAGAGAGUACCGGUCAAAAUUAGGAAAAAAUAAUAAUAUUUUAUGGAUUGGGUGAGAAAAAUAAUAAUAUUUUAUGGAUUGGGUGAGAAAAAAAAUAUUAAUAUUUUAUUACUAAUUGCCAGGGGGAAGGGUUCCAAGGAUGAAGAUGCAAAUGGCAAUUACUAUUUAUUAAGGGCAGUCACUGUUCACUAGAUGAAUUGAAUAGUGGAUUGCCAGGGAGGAGGGCUCAAAGGGUAGAGUUGCUCUUACAUGUUACAACUUCUACAGAGCAAAAUGAAAUCAUGCAAAAGGGAUAAUGCCCCAUGUGCACCUAAUUCACCUAUUAGAUAUGACAUGGAAGUGCAAUGAGAACAAAUGAGCCCAAAGAACCCAUGCCUUCUUUUUCAUCUUUGGUCCAUAGGUUCGUAUGCUCGUGUGAUGUGGAUUUAAUGCAAGUUUUCUUCUUGUGGGAAGCUCGAAACUACGAAAAUUCUACAACCAGUUGUAUUAUUACACUUGAUGUACAAAAAAGCCGUGUUCCUGGUAAACUGAAAAGUAUCUCCAAAACAACACGCUUAAAGGCUGGAUCCAGCUCCAUGAUUGGAGGACCGCGAAAUAAGUUACAAUUAAUUUCAACAAACUUCCGUAAUCAACGCAUAUGAAGAUCCAAUAAAUAAAAAGUAUUAAAAAUCAUCCAGAAAAGAAAAGAACACUUGAAAAUUUCCUCAAUCACAACCACUGUCCUCUUUCUACUCCAUCAAGGUGAAACUAAAACAACACCAACAAAUCACAAAACCCCCAAAAACCAAAAGAAAAAUUAAAUCUAAGUAAAGUGGAUGGCAAUCUCAAGUUGCUUCCCAAAUCAAUGGCUCAGCUUACUUAGCUAGAAGAAUUGUCUAAUUUUGAUUUUGAUAAUCCUCACUGUUUAGCGAAUAAGUUUACGGAUCAUAUGCCUUCACAGCCGAACCAAAGCGUCCCACAUUGCGCCAAUGGCGAAAACCGCAGACAAAACAAACUGGGAUCUGAGGGAAGGUGUUAGGACGCUGCUCUUGCUCUUCAGCGGGGCAGCUUUGGGAGGCGGAGGCAUGUUUUCGACCUUAACAGCGAUCUUCAUGCCACCGUAGCAGGACCCCUUGCUACUAAUGAAGUAGUAGUGCCUUGUCACGUUCAGUGGAACCACGUCUCUUCCGGCUCCCGUGGUCCAGUUGUGAACGGGAUGCUCGGCAUUGCACGAGACAUAGUUGGUCUGGUUCACCUCUAGAACAUCCAUUUGGUUCCUAUCAUAAACAAAAACUGGAGGAAAAAGAAAAAAAAUUUACCAACUGGAUAAAAAUAUAAGGUUUUCUUCGUAGCAAACUAAUCUUUGGUACUUAUUUUAAGUUUUCGUGUCGUGCAGGGUGACAUUUUAAUAAGGAAAUGAUUCCGCGCACUCUUGUUUAUUUCCGGAUUUCCAUAUCUUCUACCACCCUUUAGAACUAACCAAAAGAUACACAAAAAUAUGAAAUUAAAUUGAACUGACAUUGGCUUUUCUUCACAGCAAAAGCAAAGAGGAAAACAACUAGAAAAAAGUUGCAGAUCUGAGAUUUUACAUAAGCUUUACACAUCAAGAGACAAAAUUCAGAAAAGCUCCUUAAUUGGUAAUCUGAUUAUAUUCAAACUGUAUAUAACAAACUUAAGUAAAGCAACCCCAUAUAUAAUUUGAAUAACCAAACUUGUAAUCUUUGCUUCUUUUUCUAGCAAUUUUCAGCAGGAAAAACUGAAUUUUAACUUAAGCUUUACACAUCAAGAAACAAACUUAUGGAAAAAAUGCUUUUCUUUAGUCAAACAAAAAUGGAAAAGCAGAUUUUAAGCUCAACCCAUUAAGCAAUUUUCAGAUCUAACACAAUAAAAAGCAACAUCAACAAAAAAAAAGAGCUAAAACAAGAACAUUUGAGCUGAGAAUUAACUAACAGAGAACCAUAAGCAUUGACAGAAAAAAAAAAAAAACAAAAGGGCAGAAGCUUAAUGGAUCUGAGAGAAGAGAAAGAAAGAUGAACUUACAGAGCCAGUCUCCAUUGUAAAAGUGCUUAUCCUGAGCCCAAAUUGUAUAGUUGACAUUGCUGUUCCAACCCAUUUUCCCUCCCACCAUAAAUCUCGUAGCUGAUGCUUCUGGAAGUUCCACCACCACCACCAAGCACAAAAGCACCACCACCGCCAUUGCUCUCUCUUUCUCCAUUGUUCUCUUACUCUCUCACUCUCUCACAAGCAGUAGCAGUUGCCUUAGAGAGCUCCGUCUAAAAAAGCCGCUUGCUUUUGAGCUUUUUGGGCCUUUAGUUUAGUUGGGGUAGUUUGUUUAUAUGAGGUUUCGGUUUCCAGAUCUACAAGUACCGUGGGCUAUUUAUCCAGAUAAUUUGAGUUCCUGUAUGGCUGUAUGCAAAUAUUAUAUUUCUUAAUUUGAACUUUUAUGUGUGCCUGUGCAUAAAUGCAAGAACCUAAUUGUUAUAAAUUAAUAAAAGAUUGAGUGUUUAGUGAUUAAAAAUAAUUAAUUUAAGAUUCAGUGUUGGUUGAUGACAGUGUUCAAACCAGGUCAAUGGGACAAGCUUCUCCUGUCUGAAUGUGCUGUUUUGCUGCUGUUGAAGUUAAUUAGGCAAUCUUUGUAAGUUAAAUCUUGAGCAAAAUAGUGAAAUCCAGCUCAGAGUUACUUGUGGGUUAUAGAUUUCUUAAGAAACCAAACAAUGAGAAGCAAAACUUGAUGAGGAAUUCAGUGUGAUUUUGAACCACACAGUUGUGUUGUGAUUAUAUUUACUUAUUUUAUAAUACGUGUGUUUCUUACCUUAAGUUCAUGACAUAUUAUGUAAUACAACUCUAUUAAAACGCAUAAAUUAAUGACACACGUGAUCACAUUGAUCCAGAUUCCUCUCUAACACGACAUGCCUAAGACGAUGGAAGUUAUUACAAGUCAUUUGUAGCUCAAAUGAUUGAGAGCAUUCAACCUUGCACUCGACGUUGCAUAUUUAAACCCCUACGAUCCCUUUCCGGCCAAUACCACUUGCAUAAAAAUAAAAUAAAGAGAUUGUUUCUACUAAUGACCAAUGUAUAAGGUUUGGUUAGGUUCAUAAAGCGUACGCAUUUAAAUUUUGUUGGGUGGGAAAAAUAAGACCUCAAUCAAUAGUGUCUUUCCAUGUUCGACUAAGAUGAUUGCAAUUGUGACAUUUUCAUAAUAACAAGUAAACCUAAAAGCACAUAAGUUUUCCCAAAAGUAAACAAUAUUAUGGGUAAAUACGGUUAGAGAGAUAGAUUAUUGGUCCACUCCUAACUACCUUGAUAUUGUAUUAACUUAUUCAUUUAUUGUUAAGUAUUAAUUUUUAUCAUAAAAGUAACUUAUGCAUUAUAUUUUUUCAGUUUCCUAAUAUGAAAAUUAUAUUCAGCAAAUGCUAUCUGCCAGAAGGAUUUGCCGGCCAAUUUUUAGAUUUAUUAAAGUUUGUGGACUAAAGCAAGAUCAAGUUAUGCAAAGCUACCAUCACAAAAAUCAAAUAUGGUUAUGAUGGUUGUCGUUGGCACGUUGUAAAGCAUGUGCCUUUUCAGCUGCUUUCGCUGUCCAGGGUGUUUUAUUUAUAUAUUUUACCAACAAGGACAUAAUUUAAAGAGUGGUUAUCAUCAGUGGCGGAUUCAGGAAAUAAUAUUAGUGGGUUAGUUAGAAUAGCGUGUGUAGUGCGCAAAUUUUUUUUUAUCAGAAAUAGCAUGCAUAUCGCAAUUUCAUCAAGUCUUGCCAGAUCUGAAGUCAUUUGGAAAAGCAUACUGCACAUAUGUUAAUGUAUGCAGGGGCAACACCCAAGAUAUCCAUGGGCAUUCACCAAGUCUUGGUAGGCCUAAAGUUAGUUGGAGGGCAUGUAUGAGACCAACUCUAAUCUUCAAAAAGGCAACACCCAAGGUAUCCAUGGACAUUCAUCGAAGUUCGGGAGUCAGCACCCAAGGUAUCCAUAGACGUUUACCGAAGUUCGGGAGGUCAGCUGACGCUCCCUGCCCCUCAAUGCAUCCGCCCCUAGUUAUCAUCAUUUGAAAAUGUUGACUAUUUGAGAAUAAGAACAUGCGAGCACUUUUAUUUAUAAGCGUUUUUAUUGCUCUCCUUUCCCUAAUAUGAACCUUGAGUCAUCAAAGCCUUUCUGACUCAGCCUGGCUCGGUCGCCCUAUGCGACUAGCGCUUCAAAAGGCGAAACUCUCGUCGUAGUUUGGCGACCUAAGGGGCCUUUAGUCUUUUGAUUGAGUGUUUUUAAGAGAAACACAAGACACUUGGAAGCCUUUGCCUAAGAAGUAUUUUCUUAAGAAAACACUUCUAUACAUAAAAGUGUUUUUAAAAUUUUUCGCCACAUAUAUCAUUCGCAAAUUUGAUUGUUAAACCUUCCAGAAACAGUACAAACAUAACCUCACUAGCCCUAGCCCUCUUCACUUACAAACUAUUUGGAAAAUAUUUACACCUUGAGAAGUGAAUUAUGACUAAUUUUGAGCACCAAUACCAGUCUCUAAUUGGGGAGAAAAUUUUCGGUAUGCCGGGGACACUACCCAACACUAAGUGUAGUAGUAUAAUUAGUUGAAAACUUGAAAGAAAAACAUCUAACCAAUAACGAGUUGUAUACCUGUCAUAUUGAAAAAUUUCUCCUCACUAGGUGUCUAGAACAACCCAACAUUUUUAGCUGGGUGGCACUAACAUUCAAAACUUCAGUAAGCUAGAGUGGGCUGCAAAACUUAUACAUAUAGGCUGCAGAACGGGCCUGUACUUAUUUUAAUCAUACAACAAUAACAUGUCUUUGCCUCCCAUCUUAGCAUCCACAUCAACCAGCAAAUAACAGAUAAAAGCAUAAGCAGCUCCCCAUGCUUCUGAAAAUAAGCACAAUUUAUAAAGGCACAAAUUUAUGUACGCGGAUAGUAAUAGAUAUUCAAGACUAGUUUAGCUGCCCUUCAGUCCAACCUUCUUAACAAGUAUUCAACUUGAACUUCCUUUGUCAUUGGCAUGAUCCAUUCCCCAUAUAAAUCUGCAACCAAGGUCGGUUUUAUCUUGUACACGAGGUUGGGACUUUUCUUUUCCCCUUCGUACAAUGUCACUUCUUGCCCGUAAGUUUUAGCCUUCAUUUCUACCCUCUUUAUGAUUGCCUCCUCAACCGUCGGAAAUGUCAACAAAGCCAUCACCUUGUCCCUGUUCUGAAAAAUGAAGAAAACUGACUAAGCACACGGAACAUCCAAAACUACUUAUGACAGAGGAGGACAGAGAAAUCCAUUCAAGAUCAUGUACCUGUUCGAUAAUGGCAGCUUCGUAGGACUUUGGAUUGGACUGAAACUUGCACUCCGCAACAAAUUUACCAUAGUGGAUUCGCUUGGACAGAGCCUGCCGUCAUAGGACACCCCACGUCAGCAUUUAGAAAUGCUACUUAAAAAACUACUCACAUAUAAUUACUGAAUCUAUUAACCUAUAUAAGAAGGACAUUGCUUAUUUCGCCUUCCAAAUUGAACAAGAAAUGGAAGUUGAGAACGAUAAGAUGGGUAGGAUUUGAAUACCUGCAAGCACAUUGUGUCACAAACAGCAGUUGAACCGUAAUUACCAUCAUCUCCUUCUUUAACCAGUCUUGGAAUAAUAUCUCUGAAGUACAUUUCCCAAACUUUGCUGUUUAUAUUAAUUGAGUUGGCAAUGGGAUGCAGUACCUGUUUGCAAGUCGGACAUAUAUAUUCAGAAUGAAAGUGGUUGCCACUCAGAAAACCAGAACAACGAUUGCCGCUGCCACACAACAAUGGUCGUACAAAUAGGAUAGAUGCAGAAAACGGGGAGAUAAAGAAAGCUCUCCUAUCGGAAGGGCUAGCUCAUUGUAGUGAAAUUUCAGUUAAACUAUGACCGACAAGACAUUGUUUCUUUAACUGUUUCCCAUCAAGGUCGUACCCAGUGCACAAGGCUCCCGCUUUACGCAGGGUCUAGGAGAGGUGAAUGUCGGCUAGCCUUACCCCCAUUUAUGGAGAGGCUGCUCCCAAGUCUCGAACCCGAGACCUACUGCUCAUGGGCGAAGGCACUUGCCAUCGCACCAAGUGCGACCUCUAACUGUUUCCCAUCAGUGUUAGAUUUUUAUAUGUCAAGUUUUUCGGUAGAAUCAAAUUUUCUGAAUAAAUAUUUUGUUGCAGAUGGAUACACAUAAUUGACUAACAUUUUAAAUUUAUCUAGGAAUGUUAUAGAUCGAGUUAUCUCUUAAAUAGUUUCAGAUAUAAUUUUCUUCUGAGCAAGUAAUACCAUGAAAAGACUCCGUUUUCUGUGCUUUAGACCAUGUUGAGCUUCACACAUCGGCCAAAAAAGAAAACAAAACCUCCAUGUUCAACACAACUUUCUCGAUCACAAUCAGCCCCGUUCAAGUAAGUUAUUUACUAGACCUUUUCAAAUGUUUCUCAUAGUUUGUCCCUUGCAGCCUUGCAGGAGAGGGAUAAAGAACGCAUGUUUUCAGAAUUUUCUAAACUAUUAAAUAUAUUCUUAAAAUUUUGUAAAAAGUGAAAACAGCCACAUGGAGGAUGUGGGAGGCCAUUGCCAUGCCAGGCCUGCAUAUGGCCUUGCCGUAAAGAUAAGCACAAGCUUGGGCAUAAUCAAUUUCAUCGUUCCUAAUGUGUGUUAUAUUUACCUGAGGGUAGUGCAGAGGUGGCAACACUGGUUCAGGUACGUCAUCCGGAAAGAAAGGAUGCUCAUCAGGACUGCUGAAUCUGCCCACCUAAUCACAAUGCAAAGUCGAUAAGAAACCCCAGAACAAUCCUUUCUUCGAGUUUUCUUAUUGUCCACAUUACGGUUUAACAUACCUGGCCAUGAAGCUUUUCUGUUUCUUUAAGAAUGUGUUCUACCAAGGAGCCAUGGAAACACUCAACAGGGAAAGCAUUGGGGUCGUAUGUAGGCAAAUUAUGACAGUAUUGAGCUCUCUCUAAAAGGCUAAAAAUUAUGCUAUCCUCCUGCCGGAUCAAAGAAUGUCUUAUACCUUCUAGUGUCAAACUAUCGGUUUCAUCCACCCUUUUCUUCGUAGCCAAUGAUCUACACAAUAGCCAGCCUAGUAUCAGAAUCUAGCCAUAGUAAAUUGAAAGCAAGACUCAUAAUCCAUCCAGUAAUCAAUAAUAUGCAUUUUUAUGAUGAAAGAUGGAUUUGAGUGGCAACGAACAUACUUUUCUAUGCAAAAACAUCAAAAAAUAUAUACAGCAAAGACAUGCCAGAUAUCACAACAAUCUAAGCUACAAAUACUAUUUGAAGCAAUAUAUAACACUUCCUGAGAAUUUUUAUGGUUACAUCCAGUGGCGGAUCCAGCAUUCUUACCCCCAAGGGGUCAUAGAAAAAGUUAAAUCAUAGUACUUUCAAAAACAUCUUUUUCAAUGUAAACAAUUAAGCUAUCACUCAACUAACUGGAUUACUUGUACUUGAACCAACUUGAAAACUUGAGCAAACGAUAUUUACUUGAACUUGCAUUAAUCGGAAUACUUGAAGUAGCCUGACUAAUUAAUCAAUUUAUCAAGCAAAAGCUCCCUAACAAUAACAAAAAUAAUCAAGUACUUAAAUUCUAAAGGGCGACCUCAAGCUAACAAAACUCUCCGCUUUGUGAGGGUCGGGGAAACGUUUAUUGUAUGCAGCCUUACGCCUUUACAAAGAAGCUGUUUUCACAACUCACCGUGACCUUUCAGCCACAAAGGAGCAGCCUUUCCCAAAUUCUGUUUCAAAAUAAUAUUUUUGAACAAUUAUUUACUCUAGACUUGAGGAAAAAAAAUAAUAAUUUCACGCAUCUUAUUUGGUGCUUAUUAAAUAAUUAGAGACUUCAAUCAAUCAAUGGAGUUUAUGUGCACAGAAAAAUAAAAGCAUGCCAAUUUCCAGAAUAACAAUACAAAAGCAGAAUACACACACACACACACAUAUCUCUCUCAUAAAACCAGAAUAACCAGCAGAUCCAUAAAAGGGCAAAGAAAGAAAAUCAUAGAACCCAACAAGUUUAGGCAAAAGGGUUGCUGGAUUUGUACCCAAUGGAAGUCGAAGCAGCCUGGACAGACAAAUUUGGUUUCUUUGGUAAGGAGGAAUUGAGGCAUGCAAAGCUGUUGGAUUGCAUUGCUUUCAAGGGAAACAAAUAAUUGGGUCUUGAAUUGGAAACAUGGGGAGCUGAAAGAGCGGCAGGAGAGGAGGCCAUCAGCAGCUUGGCCUCCAUUGAUGAGAGAGAGAGAGAGAGAGAGAGAGAGAGAGAGAGAGAUGGGUUCUUUGAGAAAUCAGGAGAAAGAAUGGAGGUAUGGAAUUGGGAGAAAUACUACGGUGAUGGUUGGAAGGGGGAGGGAGGAGGGGGUAGGUGUAGAGGUUGAGUUGGUGGUGGGUAGGCUGAAGACACAAACGAAAGCAAGACCCCUGCACAUUAUUUUCUGAGACUUUUUGUCGUGAUUGGUUUGUUUGGAUGUAAGCAUGUGCGACACUUGAGUUCCAGUCUUUCCGUUCACGUUGCGGUGACGUUUUAGUUCAAUACAGUUUUUCUUCAAAUAGAAGUGCAUUAUUAAAUGAAAACGUUACGUGGCUGUGAAUUUAUUUUAUGUCCUUUUUUUUUAUUGUAAUGGAACUUAUGUGAUAUGUCACAGUUAUGAUAUUUCAUGUCAUUUACACGCAGUUACAUACUAAAUAUGUGCAACUAUACAAAAAAUUAAUAUAAAAUACCUUUACUGUGACAUCGUGAGUGGGAAGUUAUAUUACUAAUUAAGGGCUCGUUUAUACAUUCUUUUAAAAUGACUAAAAGCACUUCCAAAAGCACCUAAAGUGAUUCAUGUAAAAAUCACCAUUUAUGUGCUUCUUGGAAGCACUUCAAGUGUUUUUCUAAGAUUCACUUGCAUUUUUAACUAAAACUUGGUUCUAAAAAUACUUUCAUAAAAACCGUUUUCAGCAAUUUUAAAAAUAAUUUCAAACGAAUCCUAAAUAAUUAUCAACGGUGUCUUAGGUGGAUAGAACAAAUAAUGGUUCUCACAUACCCAGUGACCUGCUAAGUUUGGUCUUCAUUUUAAAUGUGUUUCAGGAACAAUUUGAGAAUGAGAACAAUUUUUCUCACAUGGGUUUAUAUAAGAAAAAAAGAACAAGACAAAAACGACCAUGAAAUUUCCACUUUCAUUCCUAAACUCUUUAUCACAUGACAUUUCGAUUUUUAUUUGAAUUAAUGUUUGAUUUGUUUAAGCAUUUAGUGGUGAAAGAAUAUAAUUGAGUGGAAUAGUUAGUAGGGAAGGCAACUAGGACAUAUGCUCUUCAUUGAGUCUUUUCUAGAAGGAAACGUGUUAGAUUGAACUAUCCUAUAUUUUGGACAUCACUACAAGGGAAUUUGGCAACCAAAAUUAGUUCAUAGUGACGAUUUUCACACUCUCAUUUUUGUCUGUUUGCACUCGUAUAUCUUAUUUUUUAUGUUUUUGUUAACUAAAGAAACAAAGAGAAGUAAGGAGCGCAAACAAGAACAAUAAAAAUAGUGAAAAUCACUACCCUUUACUUUAGGACACUAUGACAUAUCCUAAACUUUGUAUUAUAAAAAAUACGAGCUUGAGAACAAUAAAUUUUUCCAAGUUUUUGGCUCAUAUGCUGACCUGGAGUUCCGUGCUCUUAGGUCAGCUUAUGAGCCCAAAACCUUAAAAAAUCUCUCCUGGAGGAUAGAAUCGAGCCCAUUAUUCUGAUCAAUUGACCAAACUUACGUUAAUCAAAAUCAAUUUGUUUGGAUCAAAGCAAAUUUGAGUGAAUCUAGAGAUUGGGCUGCAAAAGCCCACUUAUUUAGCUCUUGCAAAUUGGGUCAGUCCACUCAGCAACCUCCUCAAAUCUCUCUCUCUCUCUCUCUCUCUCUCUCUCUCUCUCUCUGUGUGAGAUGAAAAAUCAAAUCCUAGCCUCUGCUUCCCACAAACCAUAAUAACGGCCAUGGCUUUUCCACACUGAACCCAAAAAGAUCCAAACUUUCUGCUCCAAUCUCUCUCUCCCGCCAUGCAAAUGUGUGUACCAGUUCGAUCCCCGUCGUGGGUUUCCCGGCGACGGAUCUUAGACCAGAAGCUCUCCGACCUCCACAGAUGUACAAACCUCAGCCACGUCAAGCAAGUCCACGCCCAAAUCCUCAAAGCCGACCUGCACCAGGACAUCCACACGGCGCCCAAGCUCAUCGCCGCUUUCUCCCUCUGCCGGCAGAUGGCGCUGGCGGUAAACGUUUUCAAUCAGAUUGAUUACCCAAAUGUCCACUUGUACAACACUCUUAUCAGAGCUCACAUUCAGAACUCGCAGACUUCUCAGGCCUUCGCGGCCUUCUUCGAUAUGCAGAUUAAUGGGGUUUAUCCCGAUAAUUUUACUUACCCAUUUCUUCUGAAAGCUUGUUUGGGCCGGCCAUGGCUGCCGGUAGUUCAAAUGAUUCAUGCCCACAUUGAGAAAUUUGGAUUUGGGUUGGAUAUCUUCGUGCCUAAUUCGCUCAUUGAUACUUAUUCAAAGUGUGGAUUGAUUGGUGUUAGCGAGGCGAAGAAGCUGUUUGUGGUGAUGGAAGAGAGAGAUACUGUGUCUUGGAAUUCAAUGAUUGGUGGGUUGGCAAAAGCUGGGGAGCUGAGUGAUGCACGCCGCUUGUUCGAAGAAAUGCCUGGGAGAGAUUCGGUUAGUUGGAAUACGAUAUUGGAUGGGUAUGUGAAGGCUGGGGAGAUGAAUGAAGCCUUUGAAUUGUUUGAGAAAAUGCCUCAGAGGAAUGUUGUCUCGUGGUCGACUCUGGUUUCUGGUUAUAGCAAAGCUGGGGAUAUGAGUAUGGCAAGAAUGAUGUUUGAUAGGAUGCCCUUCAGGAACUUGGUUCCAUGGACUAUUAUUAUAUCUGGUUAUGCCGAGAAGGGGCUUGCGAAGGAGGCGAUAAUGCUAUAUGAUCAAAUGGAGGAAGCUGGAUUGAAGCCUGAUAAUGGUGCUGUUAUUAGUAUAUUGGCCGCUUGUGCAGAGUCUGGUUUGAUUGGAUUGGGUAGGAAAGUUCAUGCCUCAAUUGAGAGGACUCAGUUCAAGUGUAGUACUCCUGUGUCGAAUGCUUUGCUUGACAUGUAUGCCAAGUGUGGUGUGUUGGAUGAAGCAUUUAGAGUCUUUGAUGGGAUAGCAAAAAAAGAUUUGGUGUCUUGGAAUGCCAUGCUCCAAGGGUUAGCCAUGCACGGGCAUGGCGAGAAGGCUCUUGAGCUUUUCUCUCGAAUGGUGAAAGAUGGGUUUUUUCCGGAUAAAGUUACCUUCAUUGGGGUCUUAUGUGCUUGUACACAUAUAGGAUUUGUGGAGGAAGGUCUUCACGCUUUCAACACGAUGGAGAGGGAGUAUGGGAUUGUACCUGAAGUUGAGCAUUAUGGUUGCAUGAUUGACCUUUUGGGUCGUGGUGGGCAUCUCCAGGAGGCUUUUAGGCUUGUGCAUAGCAUGCCAAUGGAACCGAAUGCUGUUAUAUGGGGUACCCUUUUGGGGGCAUGUCGGAUGCAUAAUGAUCGGGAACUAGCAGAGGAGGUGCUUAAUCACCUAGUUAAGUUAGACCCGUCUGAACCAGGAAACUUUUCCAUGUUGUCAAAUAUCUAUGCUGCAGCUGGUGACUGGGCAAAUGUUGCUAAUGUAAGGAUGCAAAUGAGGAGCACCGGAGUCCAGAAACCUUCUGGGGCUAGUUCCAUCGAGGUGGACGACGAGGUCCAUGAAUUUACAGUUUUUGAUAAAUUACACCCUAAAUCUGACGAAGUGUAUGGGAUGAUCGACAGACUUCGUGUGGAUUUCAAGCAAUUGAAUGUGUCAUCGCGGAGUAUUAGCAAUGGGAUAGGUGGAUAAACUGUGAAAGACAUUUAUUUGGUGAGCAUCAGCUGACUUAAACUUGGCCAGAAACACUUCUGCAAGUCUCCUAAUUGGAAAAUUCCCAAGGGGAAACUUCUCACCAAUGUUCUUAGAUUAUAAACUUGUAUACUUGUUGAUAAAUAGAAGGGGAUCAAUCGUUUGAUUUGUUGCUUAUGUGUAUCAGUAGAUUGGAAUUAACCUCUAACAAUGAUCAAUGCCAUUUAUUUUUAUCAGUGAGAUAAUAAGUUUGUUACUGCCUUACUGUGUCACAAUAGUACAAUUCUUGCAGAGAGCUGGGGAAGUGUCUACAGGUAUAGCACCGUAUCCAUAUCACUGCUUGUCACUGCUCUGCCAUCAAUUCCAAAUUUAGGAAAUAAUAUCGCAAUCAAACAGCGGGAAAAGGGGAUGAGAAAGGAUCGCUCUUGCUGAUAUGCUGUAAGUUGUAACUCAACCUUGAAUUUCUUAACGAAAUUAUGUUAUCUUAAAAACAAUUGUACAUCGAACUACUGUGUUGUAAGCUAUUUCAUUCACAGAAGAAAAACUUAUCUUAAAAACAAUUUGCCAUGCAUUUUAACUUUUUAACAUAAUAGUGUGUUAUUGACUUAGAAUACUGAUACAGUAACAUCCGUCAAAUAACUCCUCCGUUCCAUCUAACAAGUUAUUGUGCUUCAAAGUUUGGUGAGCAAGUGCCCAACAAACAACUGGGUACAAGUAUGACACGUCACCCAGAUUGGUUUGAUUGAUUAGAAAAUCCCCUUACGCACAAAUGAGGAGGAGGUCCCUGUCCUUUUGUGCCAUUUUUAAAGUCAUAUCCACUGGCCCAUACUUUGAAAGCUUGCAAAUUAGAAAGUAAUAUCCAACAUGGAUUGGGAUUGGAUUAAAUACCACCAUGUGGUGCACAUUUAUUCUCACUCAUUCAGUCUUUGCAUAUAUUAUCAGCUUAUAUAUCAGUGUAUGAUCUGCUCUUUUUUUCUUGCCAUCUGUGAAGCUUUGAUCUACCGUCAAAAGUUCAUCAAUGGAAGCUUGUUUUCUUGCCUCAAAUUCCUUCACCAAAACUGUUACUUCUCCCAACAGAAAUUUCACUCAAUUUCAAUCCAAAAGAGUUGGGAUUCCAUCUUCAAUAACAUGUAAGUUGUUCUAUUGAUUUUUUAUUUCAAGCAGGGAAAAAUUCCAUGCUCUUCUUGCAUAUUCUAACGGGGUUUCUGUCGAAUGAUAGGUAGCCGCGGGGAGUCAUCAACGCCGUCCAACGAUGAUCACAAACCUUCCAUUGAUGCAGAUUGGCGAUCAUUCAGAGCAAGACUGGUAGCUGCAGAGAAAUCAAGGCCAAAAGAGCCCACUUCAACUUCCUCACUUGAUCUUGACACUGUGGUGGAUCAGCCUAAGCCCGUCACCGUCGGUGACAAAUGGGCUCACGCAAUCCACGAGCCUGAAAAGGGCUGCCUACUCCUUGCAACCGAAAAGCUCGACGGGGUCCACAUAUUCGAACGGACGGUCAUUCUGGUGUUGUCCACUGGGCCAUUGGGACCGUGGGGCAUCAUACUCAACCGGCCCUCCCUCAUGUCGAUCAAGGAAACGCGAUCAACCGCUCUGGACGUGGCGGGCACGUUCUCGGACCGGCCGUUGUUCUUCGGCGGGCCGUUGGAGGAGGGGUUGUUCUUGGUGAGGCCCAAAGGGGGUGAUGGUGUAGUUGGGAGGAGUGGAGUUUUUGAUGAGGUGAUGAAGGGGUUGUACUAUGGGACAAAGGAAAGUGUGGGGUGUGCGGCUGAGAUGGUGAAGAGGAACAUGGUUGGGCUUGGGGAGUUUAGGUUUUUUGAUGGGUAUUGUGGGUGGGAGAAAGAGCAGUUGAAGGAUGAAAUAACAUCUGGUUAUUGGACUGUGGCUGCUUGUAGCCCAAGUGUGAUUGAUUUGAGGAGUGUGGGAAGUGUUGGCCUUUGGGAGAAGGUCCUUGGGCUUAUGGGCCGUCGGAAGGUCCGGUGAAAUCCAUUUGCGGUUGUUGGAUUCAAUAUUGCUAGUAUCAGUCGUUCACGUAUGUAACAAUUAUGUACAUAAUUGACAAGUGUUGAUUAAUAAGAAGUAUGAAUCUUAUUAUAGAUCUCACCCUAUUUACUUAAUGAACAAUUGAAAUUGUCAUGCCAAGCAUGAUCCUGCGUAUUCAAUUAUAUUUAUUGAAAAAUUUAGAAACAAUCUAAAAAUAAUAAAGUACGAUUUUUUUUGUUUUCAAAGGAGAACUUUAUUAGAGACUAAUUGUAACGUUUACAUCUGCGAGAAUAUGAAAAAGAAACUCAGGACCAUAAUCAUUCAUUCAAAUUAUUUUGUUCUCCUAAUUUAUAAAUUAAAGUAAUAACAUCAACUCCUCUUUAAAAAUGAACAACUGGAUAAGUGGAUAAACUAAGUUCUACAUUUCCACAAGUUAUAUGGAUAAGAACACACAAUGAUGAGAUAGAAUCUUCUGCACUCUUUUUGUAUGUGGUCACUAUGUGACUUAUCAUUCAUUGACAUGUGUGAAUAAACUUAACUCUCUUAACUUUAUUGUCAUAAAUUUAAAACGUAUCAAUAAAUAAUAGAGGUCAUAAUAAGACCACACACAAAAUGAGUACAUAAAAUUUGAUUUCCACGAGGAUGGUAAUUUGAAUUAAUGACUUAUUUAGUAGAUGUAACAUUGUGAUUUGUUGAUUAGCAUGGUAUUUAACAUGUCAAUUUGUAGUAAUAUUGUGCACAGAAAAAAAAAAAACCAAAAUGCAAAUAUAUUUGAAUAUUAAGGAUGAAAUUAAAAUUAAAUUUCCAAAAGAAUUUGAGUCUUGAGUCUUUGAGUUGACCAAUCAGAUUUGGACCAAAACAAAAAAAACAAAAGCAAAAUCCAAAAAAGCAAUCAAAAUUUUAAAUUGUGUGCAAAUAAAAAUUUAAUACAAAAAUGUAUCCACUUUUCAAAUUUCUCUCUCAUAUUUGUUUAGUCUGAAGUAGAAGACCUGGAGCCACGCUCUUUUCAACGCAGGUGGAAAAGACACACGGCCACCUCAGACAUCAAAUGUCACGGUUGGGUUACGUGGCGGAACAUGAUCACUAGCGUGUAUAACACACUCCGAGGCAGAUCGAAUGAUUGUAUGGAAUCAGCCACUUUCGGAAACUGUUAAGUUGUUGCUUCAGUGAACCCAGUUGUCUCCAUCUUUUUAAGUACUUUCUGAAUAUAAAUAUAUUUGCACCCAAAAAGCACGGAACGUGGAGAGAAUCUAGAAAAUGUUGAAAACACAGAAUUAAGAUAAUUAAAAUAUGAUUAUGUCUUUGACGAGUCUCGUUCUCUCGGUAACUUGGUCUAAUCGUAGAUGUAUAAUUAUUUGACGAAGAAUUUAACAUUAAAAGCUGAGAUUAAAAAUUAAAAAUAUAGUAUUUAAAAUUUUCAACUAAAAUAGUUAUUAAGAUUGUUAGAAUUCUUUACUUUAGUCCUUGAAAUUUAAAAUCAAUAGAAAUAAUCUAUUAGAUUGUUCACCAUCAAUCAUUUUGAUCAUUAUGUGAAAAUCUCGCUUAAAUUGAAAAAUCAAAAUAUUAAUGGUAGAUAAUCUCAAACUACUCUUAUUAAUUUUAAAUAUAUGCCAAUCUCAAAAAUCAAUUUAGAUAAAAAGCUUAAAUGAAUAUUUCUACCCUUCAUAUCAAAUGGAAAAAUGAAUAAUCAUGUAUUCGUUGGUCAUCGGGUGACCAAGAGAAUAUAUUUCUUUAUCUAGCAUUUCCUUAAAAACCCAUAAAAAAAAAGUUAUAUUAAAUGUGGGAAAAAAUCAUUGGAGCAAAAGCCAAAGAAGAAGAAAGAGAAUUGGGUGGGGGGCAUAAUAUUAGAAUAAAUGUGCAGACCACAAGUUGACAAAUUCCAGUCACUGUUGUUCUUGAACAAGUCAUUUGUUGUUGUUGGUUCCUGGGUUCUCUGAGUGUGGGGGAAUUAAAAAGGAAAGAUCUUUCUGUGUUUGGGAUAUGGGAAAUUGAAAAGGAAACCUCUUUCUCUGAUUUUCUCAUCAGAUUCUGCUCCAGCAGCAGAUCUGAUUUGCUCUGUGACAGUAAUCUCAGUUUUCUUAUAUAUAUAUAUAUAUAUAUAUAUAUAUAUAUUUUUUUUUUCUGAUUGUUUAAUGUUAGUUCAGAACAGAAGUACCUACUUUUGUUGCUGCUGUUUUGUAUUGCGGCUGUGAAGUUUGAUGGAGUUGGAUUGGUUUGUGGGUCAUCGGAAAUUUUGGUGAAUUUGUAGGGCAAUCCUGAGAAAGCCUUGUGGAAGAUUAUUAACCAUAUGAGGUAAUUUUCAAUUUUCUGUUUUAAUUUUCAAUUUUUUAAUUUUUUUAAUUUAGUCUGCAGAUUAAUUUGUAAUUUAGUUAUCUGUCAUCUGUUUCUUUAUAAAUUUCUUUGUAUAUUUGACUCUCUACAUAUAUAAUUAUAUAUGUAUGUAUGUAUAUAUAAUUUUAUAUCUUUGGAUCUGCUGUUUUUCAAUCUAGGCUUAGAUUUUGGACUCUGUUUAUUUCUUAAUCCGUAAGAUUAACAGUCAUAACUCAAAUUUUGAAUGGUAACUUGGAGUUGCUUGUAUCUUAAGAUAGUAAAUUCUUUCCUUUCGAGAAAAUUCAGCCGCGUUUUUUGACCAGAAUCUUGGAUGGAUCAUGGACAGGAAAGGAACAUUGGGUUGAAAUGUGCUAAUGUGGAGCUAGGAUUAAUGAUAAUCACUAGAAAAAGAAAUGCAACUUUGAAAUUAUGUGUUAAAAGCUAGGCAUUUCACUGGUUCUUGCUGAUUUACUCUAUCUGGUGACUAAAGAUUUCGGAACUAGUGAGUUGCGUCGAGUUUCAGUGUGCAAUCUGAUGAUGUGGUUCUGCUGAUUGUGUUGACAGUACUGAGGCUAAGUUGAAUUCUCACUAUAUCUAAGUUGAUUUUUGCUAAUGCUUCUCGGGUUAAUUGCAGGAAUGGGAACUGAAGUGCAGUUGAAGAUGUAUUUCCCGGAAUAUUGUUCCAUACAGAAUCUAAGCAGCAAUGUCGGCCAUGGGAGCUGGUCCCUACUCCACGAGAACACAAACUUGAAGAAUGGGCAACAAUACGAAGUGUUCUUGACAAGGCCAGUUAUUGAUGGAUUUCACGGACACGAUAAGGAGCAACUGAGGCAAACUAUUCUGAAGCAUGAGACAAUUUUCAGGCAUCAGGUGUAUAUUCUAGAACCUAUAUAUGUUGAGUUCUAAAGUGUAGUAAUGGUCAUAGAUCUUAUCGUAGUAUUUAGAAAGAUUGAAUAACGGUUUUAUAUUGGUAAGAAAGUGUCGAACUUUGAGUGCUCAAAUUCGUUAGCCAGUAGUAUAAUGCCUUUGCCUUUGUCUGUGAUUUUCUUAUUCAGCUCAAUGAACUCCAUCGUCUUUACGAAAGGCAAAAGGACCUGAUGAACGAGAUCAAAAGCAAAGAGCUUCUUAAACAUCAAAAAGUAGCAGGGAUAUCACAAUCAACUUUCUCAUCAUCCGGCUUUCCAACUGGAGACGACAGAAAGAGUUGGCAUAUUUCUAAUUUAGCCUUGUUGGAUUCCAGUUAUGGUAGGCAAUCUACAUCGAGUACCUGUAUCAGCCAACCUCCUCGCGAUUCUAUUGGAAAAACCCUGCAAAACAGCUGUGUCCCCAGCCAAAGUAGAGUAGGGAUGAAGGACUACGAAUCUUCGGAUUCCAGAGUGAAGAAGCCUCGAAGAAGAUUGUUCAAUCUUGAACUUCCAGCCGAUGAAUACCUCAGUGAUGAAGAAGAACCAGAAGGAGGUUUGGGGUCGGGAACAGACAAAUCUGGCUAUAACAAUAGUGUGUCGAGCUCUGGUUUGCAUUUAGUAAGAAGCAAUGGUUUGGCUGAUCUGAAUGAACCUAUUCAGAUAGACAAAGUGUCUGCCUCAACUUCUGUCGUUAUGUCUGGCAACCAACCGAGCUCCAAAGAGGAGAUAGAAAGGCAGGUUUUAUCUGCAAAUGCGUACAAAGGCGUGUGGCCUUUUGCAAAGAAAUUCCCUGAAAACCCACAAACAGGGAAGGAUGGAAGAGUUGGUGAUCUGCAUUUAAAGAAUGAAAUCCAAAAAGAGUGGUCAACAAAUGCUCUCAGAGAUGGUAAGGGUCUAGUUAUCUUAUUUCGUGUUUACUUCCGUUGUGAUUCAGAUUUUGUACUUAAGCUCUAAAUUCCAUAAUUGUUCAAUCUUGCCGCAUUACAAGUUUCAUUACUUUCAAAUUCUUGCCUGCACAUACGACUCUUAUCAGAUGCACGCUGGUCAUUAUAUCUACAAAAGGGAAGGGGGCGGUCGGGCAGGGAGUCUGUCUCUAGAAUUCAUUUUUAGAGAAGAAACUCUCUUAGUUAUUUCAUGGUUAGACUACAUGAAUAUAUCCCUGGUGAAUUUCUUACCAUUUAUCGACAUCACCAAACAAGUAGUUAAUCAUGUUUCCUCCAUCGUUUAGUUUACUGCUAAUAAGGCUCAAGAUUGGAAAAUCUUACAAAGGGUUGCAGUUCUCUUCAUUUUGGACUAACGGAUUGAUAUGCUUUUUUUCAGAGCAAAUAAGAAGUUCUUCUGGCGGAAAGUUUGGUCUUCAAGAUUUUAAUAAGCCAUGUGAAUUGUCAGAAAACGAAGCUACGGUAACCUGUGCUCCUUCUGCUAAGCUUUUCACUUCUGAUCAGAAUAAAACGGAGAAACAAAUAAAGAGGACACUUUUUGGUAUAGAAAUCUCUGAAAGCGAUAUAAGUUCAUCUGCUAUGACUUCGCAAUCUGGUGCAGCCAUUUCCGAGUCAUCUCCUAAUUGGACAAUACCUCCAAGUAGCUUGAGCGAGAACUUAACAUCAAUUCAAGUAAGCACUUCCGUUAAUACCUCCACACAAUCUAAUAGGGCUUCAAUCAUGAUGCCACAAAGCAGUGAAGUUACCCGGGACAGAUUGCUUCUUGACUGUAAUUCAAUACCGUCAACUCCCAGUCUGAAAGACGAAGUGUCACACCAAAGCAGUUUUUUCUUCCGCACUAAGUUGGAGGCCAAUCAAUUACAGGCUUGGCACCCCUCAAUGAGCCUUGGCUGCCAAGGGAACCAUUCAACGUCAGGUCACCGGGUGGAUGUCAAACCUGCUAUUGAUGUGAAUGAUGUUCCUCCUAAUAAAUAUCUGCAUGGAGGAGCUUGUGAACAAAAUAUAAUUUCUCUCAAUGGGUUGAGGAACCAAGAAAGCCGACAAGGAAGAUUGCAUUGGCUUGAAGCACUGCCACUUUGUGAUGGCAAAUCUUCCAGAGAAAUUGAAAGCAGACGCACGUGUAGAGGGCAACUGAAAGCAGGCGGUCUGGUUCUAGACAAGGGAUUUUCAAAUGAGAAUUCUGAUCCAAGACACCAAAUAGAUUUAAAUAGAUGUUUAACUGAAGAAGAAACUGAAAUGACUGCUGCUUCCCCAGUUAUGAGGGCAGAAAUUGUGACAGAUUUGGAGGCACCUCUUGACUCACCCCAUGAGGGCUUUAUCAGAGUUGCAGCCGAGGCUCUAGUUGCCAUCUCAUCAUCCCAAGCUCCCGAUAUGCAGGAAAAAGCCACUUGUCGCAAUCUGGAGGCUUCAGAAAACAACUCCCUUCUUUGGUUUGCAGAAGUAAUUUCUUCACAUGAUGGAAAUCUUGACAAUGGAAAUGCAGCAGAGGUUAAGCAAACUUCCUGUGAUGAAGAGGCUUUUCCCGUUGACAUGGAUUUUUUUGAGCACAUGACAUUAAAUUUGGUGGAAACCAAAGAAGAGCAGCAAUGUUAUGUGCCUCCAAAUUCAGACAGCCUCACAGAAGAAGCGACAUUGUCGAAACGGCCACGAAGAGGCCAAUCGAGGAGGGGGAGGCAACAGAAGGAUUUCCAGAGAGAUGUACUUCCCAGUCUUGCUUCUUUGUCAAAAAAUGAGGUGAUCGAUGAUCUUCAAAUAAUUGAAGGGUUGAUUAGGGAAUCUGGUGGGAAUUGGCAAUCAAGUUUGUCAAAAAGAAAUUCUGGUAAGGGUGGUAGGGGAAGGGGGAGGAAACGUAUGGACACUCCCAUACCGUCUACUAAUGUGGCUGAAGUUUGCCAGCCCCAGAUUGAGCAACCAAAAUGCGAGGAGCUGCAGGGACCUGAGGAGAGAAAUUUAACUUGUUGGGGUAAGAGGACAAGGCGUCCACCACGGCAAAGAUAGCCGAUUGAUAAUUCUCCUAUUCCUCAAAAAUAAACAUGGAGAGGUCCUUUCCGUAGAGAUACUGAAGUUCAUCGGAGUAGAGUUAACAUGCGUGGAUCUGCCCUCGAAGUUUUUAAGCCGUGGAGUUGUAAUUGUACACAAUCCUUAAUUUGGUUUCCGGUAUUCUGAGUGAACUUGUAAGAUUAGUCAAAAUAAGUUUACAGAAGAAUUUGUUGAACUAAGAGAGUGUAACAUAAACUGCAGGAUCCUUCGAACUCAGAACCAUGAGCAAUUCUGUUUAGCAAUAUACGCUUCACUUUAGGCAAUUCAGUUUAGCAACAUAGAAUAUUCAAUUUAGCAAUAUAGAUUAUUGACUGUGGAAAAAUGCUGUUUCGAAGAAGUGUCCGACAUUGACAAGAAAAAUACAAAAAACAGAGCUCUUGUUUUUCGUAUAGAUUAUUGAUUGUGUGAAGGUGUGACGAGUCUUCUAUCUUAAUUUUGUAUUUGUAUUUCUGCGUAUGGAAGUGUCAUAUUUUUUUGCCUUCUACUUGUGGAAAAUGAUAGGGAGACCAGAAGAACUGAUUAAUGAUGCUUUCCUCAUAUUGUUUGUAGAUUCACAAAGAAAACUUGAAGCAUCACGUGAAAACAAAUGGGUGGCAACCAUGGCAUGGCGCUCAUGUUGCAAGAAAAUUUAACUCAUGGAUGGAUUUAUUUUAUUUUAUUUUAAAUGUUGGUAACUACAAAUGUGUCUUCGAAACAUAUUAUAAGGUUUUCUUUAAUUUUCAUGGAUGUAUUAUAAAUAAUUUCCUCUUUGUUAGGUUUUUGUUCCUUUUUAUUUUUUUUGGUUCCCUGCAUGUUUGUGAGAUGCACUGCCUAUGGAGAAGAAAUACUAAAAAGAAGGGAAAAAAAUAGAAAGAAAAAUAGUUAAGCAAUUCAGUACUGAGUAACUGAAACGUUAGAGAAAAAAAGCCUAACAAAAACAAGAAGUUUGCUUGGUGUUGAAAUUUAGAGGAGGCCAAUGCCAGAGUCAAUAGUCAAAACGUGAAUAAAAAAAAAAGAAUGAAAGGGAGUUAGCUUGACUUUGGACUUUAAUGCAAUUAAUUAACCACAAUACGUACACGGUAUAGCUUUAGCUAUUACAAAUUACAAUGAAGAACAACUACUGCAAGACGAUUUUAGAGGCGCUACACUGUAAUAUAAAAAAUAAAAAAAAAAAUCUCUUGCGAGGGGGAGUGGAACAACACAUAUAAAACAUUACUUUAUGCAAAAUGAAAACAAAAAACUAAUUUGUAUCUCAAUUUUUUUUUACUGUCAUCACAGAUUAACUAUGUUAACUAAUCUAUGUUGUAGAUACUACAUAUACGUAUAUUACAAAAGUAGAUGAGGGCCUCAAUUGGUAAAGAAAACUGAUACUACAUGUACAUAUAUUACAAAAGUUGAUGAGGGCCUCAAUUGGUAAAGAAAACUGAAAUUUGACAUGAAAUGAGAAAGAAAAGUCUGAUGAGAUAAUACAGGGAAAGUAUUUUGUCUUCCAUGUUGGUUUCACGAACAUUUCCUAUUUAUUAUUUUUAUUUUUAUUAAGAAGUGAGUCCCUACGUGGACAAUUUUCGAAGGUAGUUUACUUAUCUUCUCCUAGACUGCUGCGGAUGUUAUUCCAACAUCUCCUGCACUUGCACUUGCACCAUUCGGCUGAUCGGAUCCCAUAACCAACUCUUUCAAUUUGUCAAACAUUCCGGACGCAGUAACUUCUGCACUCGCACCAAAAUUCAUGAAGAACUCUUUCAGUUUGUCAAACAUUCCGGAUGCAACAACUCCUGCACUUGCACCAAUAUUCAUGAACAACUCUUUCAGUUUGUCAAACACCUGAAGAAGCUGUUCACGUGCUCUCUGAUACAAACUUUUCAAAACAUCUGCAAUUUCAUGGUAGGAAUUUGUUACUGCAAUCACAAGGCAAAUGCUCCAUGCUGCCAUGGCGAACCACCCCAAAGCUGGAACGAUGAUCAACAAUUCUAAGGUUAUGGCGAGUGUUCCAGACCAGAGGCUAAUCUUAUCCAUGAAGUCAGACAAAUCUGGAUUUUCACGAGCUGGGAAUAUCUUGACCGACAGUGCCCAUGAACUGAUGUAAACCACAAUAGCAACAAUCAAAGCCACCAACAUGUCGUAUUCCGUGGACAACAGAUAUUCUGCAGCCCCAGCUCCGUACCUAAGCUGGAUAAACCCGGCUAGCGUGGGGAUGGCAAAAAUAAUACGCUUGUGCAAUGCCUUUGAAGAACUUUGACGAUCAUGUUCCCCGGCCUCGCUUGUGCUAUUUUAUAAAUAUAUGGUUAGAAAAUUAUAUUGGGUUAUAAGCAUUUUCCAUCUAGGUAUAUAGUGAUAAACAUUUUAGGCGUAUCAUGGUUCACCACAAGCAUCACCAAUACGGUUCAAAUUUAAGCACCUAUUACUAGGUCUUGAAUUUUAUCAUAAAAUGCUUUGGUGAUUUAGAAUUGAAAUCUCCCAUAUUUUCAAUGUGAGAUUCUAACAUAUAAUUUUUCUCACCGCAUAAUGUACAAUGAAUGGACAUGAUUGCUUGAUUCCCGGGAUCCCCACAAAGAGGAUCCGGCAGGGAUCCUUUUCCAUUUACAAAGUGUUAAUAUUGUACAUCUAAAUAACAUUGAUUGAACAAAUCAAAUACUCAGUUGGGAACUUUCUACUUAUUUUUUGCGAAAGAAAAAAAAAAUUAUACUUAAUCUUUAUAGUUCAACAUUUUCUUUUGUUGGAAAUAUUAUGCAAUCCCAUUUCAAGCCCUCUUAGACAAAAUUCUAAGCUCGACGCGAUGAUAAAUGAAAGCUUUGGUUGCACCUACGUAUUCUGCCACACAUUUAAUAUGUGGAGUUUAAUCUAAAGGAAAAUACUUUCAUCAACUCCAUAAGGUGCAUCAUCUUAAUCUAUCUCAUGAGAUUAACCUAUUUUUACCACGAAUUUUAUAAUUAAAAAUUUUCAUUUUCUUGAUUAUUAUUUAAAAACCGUCUCUAAAAAAAAUAAGGCUAAAUUUUUUUAUUGAUCCCUGUGGUGAGACAUUACUUUUAAAUCGACCCAUGUGGUGAAAAAAGUGUUAAUCUUAACUCUAUGGUGAAGUUCGUUAUCAAUCGUAGUCCAAAUUGAAAUUUCUGUCAAAAUCUCAUCCACAUGCAGGGGUAAAAAGGUCAUUCCAUUCUUUUUCUUAUCUUUUCUUUUUGGUAAUUCCACUUUCUUAUAAUCAACAAAAAAAAGAACGAAAAAAGAAGAAGAAAUCCCUUCCCAAUCCCUACCCUUUGUUAGCCAUAGCCACAACGACCACCCACCACCUUCCCCCCUCUCUCUCACAUAACCCUAGCUAUCCCGUCCACCAAUAUUCUUCUUAAAAUGAAAUUAAAUUCAAUGUUUGCAUAAUAGCUUAUAUUCUAACCUAAUAUUUUUUAAAUCUUGAAUUUGGACUCUUGGCCCUCUUGAUAUGAGAAAGUAUGUUAAUAUGAACCUUGUAAUUUUAUUGUUUACUUUUUUUUAUUGUAGCUCUAAAAGUUAAAAAAAAAAAUUAUGUCCAUAUAGCGCUUUAUGAUUGGUUGAUGGAAUCAAUAAAAACGAAAAUAACAAUUUUGCCCCUACAAAUAACAUAAGAAUGAGGAAAAAUCCAAUUUGGACUAUGAUUGAUAACAAAUUUCACCACAAGAUUACAAUUAAUAGCUUUUUUCAUCACAUAGAUCUAUUUUAAAGGUAUCACCACAAGGAUCACGAAAAACAAUUGGUUAAAAAAUAAAAAAUAAAAACAGGGGAUUGUUUUUUUAUCAUUUAUAUGCAACAUUUUAAGAUUUCGAUUUAAUUAUUAUUUUUUUUGUAAAGAUAAUUAUUAUAUAAUGAUUAAAAAAUGAAUUAUUCUAAUCUUAAAAAUUAUAUAGUGACAAAUAUGUUAAUUGCAAGUAUAUUUCUCGGAUAUAAGUAAUUUUGAAAUCUAAAUAGUCGCAGAUCCAAUGGUAUUGAAAAGUUCAUGGCCACAAAGGCUAGUUUCUAAAACAAGAAGAAGUGUGAUUGCAAAAAUACUUGUUCAUGUGACAAGAAGUAGUAGUAGUUUAAAGUUUAUUAGAGCAGCUAAGAAGCUAGAUAUAGAGGAUGUACUUACGCACGGCGAGAUGAUAAAGACGGACCUGGAUUGUCUCUCCCUCAUUCCAUACCGUUAUAUUCCCUCAUAUUUCUGUGGUUACGGUUAAACCAUGUUAACAUUUUAUAUUUUCAUUGCUUUUUGUUUUAUUAUUUUUAUUAAAAAAUCAAUAUAAAAUGUUGACGUGGUUUAAUCGUGAUCACAAAAAUAGAAAGGGAUGGAAAAAGUAUGGGAUGGGAAGGGCAGACAAUCCAGAUCCGAUAAAGACAAAGGGGUGCUACUGCUCACAGUCACUGCAGUUCGGUUGCCAGCUGCUUGAAUCACGAAACUCUCAGUGUUGUACAAAGCCAUUUCUCUAUAUAUAAUUUCUGACAGGUUUACGAUGUUUACCAUGGGACAGGAAUGGAGGAGUUGGGUGAUUAGUUUGGAAAAUUUGGAGGAUUUGGAGGGCGUAAGUGGGAUGGUGACAUCCCGUGAAUUUACGGAUUUAUCCCAAGAUUGGGAGUAUAUAAAGUAAGCUGCUGAAAAGACAUCCCGUUUGGGAGUAUGUAAGUAAGUUGUUGAAAGACAUCCCGUGAAUUUACGGAUUUAUCGCAAGACGAUAUGUAAGUAAGUUGUUGAUAAGACAUCCCGCCUCGUCAGAAAGAUUGGGAGUAAUUUUUGAGAGCCCAUCUGACAGGGUUAUGAUUUAAUUAAGGGAGACUUUAGAUGUGGUUCUUAAUGAUGAAUAUUCUUUAAUUGAAAUCUUGUUGGUUUUUAAUUUUUUAUCCAAGUCCUUGACAUUAAUAUGAUAAUUCAUUUAUAUGUACGUUACUAUAUUUUUUUAAAUUAAAAAUUGAAAUUUAUAGUUGUUUAUAUUGAUGGAUUUUAAAUAAAAACCAUAAUUUGUGGGAUUAAAAAUAUUAAAAUAUAAAUAUACUGUUGUGUGUGUAUAUAUAUAUAAAUGGGUACAUUCAUCAAAAUUAACCAAAAAAUUAUUGUAUCAAAACAUGUGUACAUUCUUCAAAAUCACAAAAAAAAAAGAUAUUAGGCUUAAUAAAAUUAGUAAAUUUUUUCGAUUAAACUUAACAUGGAUACAUUCUCAAAUCAAAGAAAAAGAAUGUACCCAUAUAAUUAAGUUUAAAAAUGGAUUAGAAAAAAAAAUUGAAUCGAUUUUAUAUAAAAAAAUGGUACAUUUUACAUAUAAAAAAUUGGUAUAUUUAAGAAUGAGUACAUUUUAAGAUUUAAAUUUUGAAAAAAAAAUUACAUGAAUGGUACAUAUAAUUAGCAUGGGUACAUUUACCAAAAUUAAAAAUGGGUACAUAUAAAUAAAAAAAUAUGGGUACAAAUUAAAAUUGUAAAGAAAAUUGGUACAAAUUAAAAAAGGGUUGCAAAUUAAAAAUGAGUGCAAACUAAAAAUAAAAAUAUAUGAUAAAAAAUUUAGCCAUAAAUAUAAAUAUACUAAUUGUAACAUUUUUAACAUUAAAUAAAAAUAUUUAGAAAUAAAAAUAUUUUAUUAUUGAAAUAAUUAAUGAUGUUAUUAAUACCAAAGACCUUGAUUAAAAAUUGAAAAAAGAAUAAGGUUUUAAUCAAUGGAGUAGUAAAAGAAAGGAUGAGAACCUAAUUUCUUCUUUAAUUAAUCUAUCGCAUGAGAUUAACCUAUUUUUACCACGAAUUUUAUAAUUAAAAUUGUUCAUUUUCUUAAUUAUUAUUUAAAGACCAUCUCUAAAAAAAGCAAAAAAAACUGGGGAUUAGAGCAGAUAAGAAGAAAUGUGAUUGCAAAAAUACUUGUUCAUGUGACAAGAAGUAGUAGUAGUUUAAAGUAUAUUAGAGCAGAUAAGAAGCUGGAUAUAGAGGGAUGUACUUACGCACAGCUAGAUGAUAAAGAUGAAGGGGUGCUACUGCUCACAGUCACUGCUUGUCGGUUGCCAGCUGCUUGAAUCAUCAUACUCUCAGUGUUGUUCAAAGCCAUUUCUCCACAAAAAUAGAUUCAUGGUCAGAAGCAUGUAUAUAUAAUUUCUGACGGGUUUACGAUGUUUACCAUGGGACAGGAAUGCCAUGGAGGACUCGGGUCAGUGGGGCCCACUGUGUAUGAACGGAACCCAAACCUCCACCCACCAGUAGAUUAGGGUUACUAUUACUAAUGAACCCAGGCGUAGGGUUACUAUUACUAUGGAAGCAAUGUCGUGGUUGAAAUUACGCGUGAAAACCAAAAAGUUAAACCAAAUUUCAAAGUUCAAACAAACCACAAUAUCUGUGCACCCGGCGCUAAAAUUCAAGGUUAAGACGGGGCUUAAUGCAAUAUGAAGAAAUUACACAAAAUAUGGAGAUAAUUGAAGGAUCUUCUUUCAUAUUGGAAUGUAACAUUUUAAUAGAUAAAAGAUUAAUCGAGUUACACAAAAUAUGGAGAUAAUUGAAGGAUCUUCUUUCAUAUUGGAAUGUAACAUUUUAAUAGAUAAAAGAUUAAUUGAGUCACAAAAAAUGACAUUGAGAUCAUAAGCACCUAAUUUGCUUGUGAGUUAUUUUUAAACAAACGAUGUUAUCUACAUUAAAAGAAUUAAGAGAAUAGAAGAAUUGGCAACCUUACACUUGACUAACCAUAACAAUAUUAUUUAAAUUUACCUUUGAAGAUAAUCGAAUCUAAAAUUACCAUCAUAAAAUCGAGCAUGAUAACCAAAAAGUUGGCCCAAAUUUAAAAGUUCAAGCAAACCACAAUGUCUAAAGCAUCCGGAGCUAAAAUUCAAGGUUAAAGAGGGGGCGUAAGGCAAUAUGAAUAAAUUACACAAUGCAUCCCAAGGAUGAUUCUAGACAUUCAGUGGGGCCAAAUAUAACCGAUCAUCGGAUGCGUCCAAUAAAAAACCCUAUCAUCACUGGGAAUCCCAUCGUUGAAAUUAUGCAUGAAAACCACAAAAAGUUGAUCCAAAUUUCAAAGUUCAACUUCAAACAAACCAUAAUAUCCGUACCAUUGGGCGGAAUUCCUCCUUUUGGACCUUCUUUGUAACUUAAAGCCUCAUUUGUCAACGAGAAUCUCAGGCAUAACUGAGAAAAGGAAAUCAGGACAGGGAGUUAAAUUAAAUAUCCACUGACCUACGUAUUUUUUAGUGUCAAGUUGGUAUUAUUACUUGCCUAUAAAUGCAAAUGUAUUUUAAAUCUAUCUAAUGUCUUUAAUUUUAAUUUUUGUAUUUUAAGUGUUCAUUAAUGCCUUCAAUUGUCCUCUGUUUUACACCUCAGUGAUAACACAAAAGCUCCAUAGAAAACGUAUCGGAUUUUGAAUCAAAUUUCGACAGUGCCCCUAUCAUCUCUCCGAAAACCAAAGCAAUCCCAAACAAUUCCGAAAUCAUUUUUACGUGUCCCAAAAUAUGGUAUGUAUAUCUUCAUCUCAAAUUUAUUCGUAUCAAGUUGAUAGUUUUUCAUUGUUCGAAGUUCCACACUACUCAAUGUUUACUAAGACUUUUAUUUUUCUCUUUUACAUUUUGUUGAUGCACAAAACCGGAGGGGUCUUGGAACAACCUAAAUCCGACUGUGAAUAUGCAAGAAAGUAAAUAACACAAGAUGUAUCGUGGUUCACCUCAAGGUUUGGGCUAUGUCCACACUGAUAUUGUAUUUCUGAGAGAGAGAGCUCUGAAUAUGAGAGUGAGAGCUUUGAGAGAGCUUUGAGAGAGCUUAGAGCUUAGGGGAUGUGAGGAGGCUUAUGAAUUGGCCUCUCCUAAUUGUGAGGGUGAGGAGUCCUUUUAUAAAAUAAGGGUCAUCACUUAUUACAUAUUUGCCCAUUCAUUUAUUACAUAAUUACCUUUAAGUUAUUCGAGUAUUUGUACUAAAUCUAAAUACGGAGACCCUAAGUAUGGUAUAAACACAUUUAUAUAAGUGAUGUUGCAGCAAAGGAAAUAUCAGACACAACUCUUACAUUUAUAUAAGUGAUGUUGCAGCAAAGGAAAUUCCACCAACCAUGACUUGACACUAACACAGAUUAACUAGGUCCAUUAUCCACAUCAACUUUUAUAUUAUAUUUGUAUCUUUUACUCAAUUUUAGAAUUAAAUAUUACUUCUCUCUUUUUCUGCUCCUAAUUUGUAUCUCAAUUUUUUUUUACUGUCAUCACAGAUUAACCAUGUUAACUACUCUAUGUUGUAGAUACUACAUAUACGUAUAUUACAAAAGUAGAUGAGGGCCUCAAUUGGUAAAGAAAACUGAUACUACAUAUACAUAUAUUACAAAAGUAGAUGAAAGUAGAUGAGGGCCUCAAUUGGUAAAGAAAACUGAUACUACAUGUACAUAUAUUACAAAAGUUGAUGAGGGCCUCAAUUGGUAAAGAAAACUGAAAUUUGACACGAAAUGAGAAAGAAAAGUCUGAUGAGAUAAUACAGGGAAAGUAUUUUGUCUUCCAUGUUGGUUUCACGAACAUUUCCUAUUUAUUAUUUUUAUUUUUAUUAAGAAGUGGGUCCCUACGUGGACAAUUUUCGAAGGUAGUUUACUUAGAGCAAGUCCACCGGAGUGGACUUUGCCCAGGACCCAGCACAAAAACAAGGUCAGCACCCUGUCAACCAAGUCCACCCCCUCAACUUGACUGGUACCCAACCCGAGCUGGGCUCUGGACCAGCCCAAAAGAGACUGAGCAAGAAGUCGGGUUGUUGGCCUGGCGCGUGUACGACAAGCGCGCCUGGGCUGUCAGCCCACUUAUGCUUUGGAUCCCAUCAGCGACGUGGCAUGCUUAUAUCCGUUGGAUUUCCAACGGCUAGUUUUCUAGACCGUUGGAUUUCCAACGGUAAAAAAAAUUUAAAUUUUACUUUUAAAAUAUACCGUCCGAUCACAGAUCAACGGUCCACGUUAAUUAACUAAAUUAAAUUUUAUUAAAAAAUACAGAAAAAUAUUAAAAAAUACAGAAAAUUUAAAAAAAAAAUUAUUUAUUUUUUCUAUAAAUACCUAACUCUCAUCUUCCACCUUACACCACAUUUCAAUAUUUUCUACACUUUCUACCAAAACUUUCAUAUACUUUUUGUGUGAAAAAAAAAUACCAAAAAGCUUGUGGUUGAAGAAUAAAGUGUAUUUGAUGAGUUUAUGUAAUUUCAUUUUAGUGUGUUUUUUUUUUAUAGUUUAUUUGAUGAGUAUGUAAUUUUAUUUUAGUGUGUAUUUUUUUAAAAGUUUAUUUGAAAUUUUAUCUGAAAUUGGUUAAAAAUCUUAUCUGAAAUAAACUUAAAAAAAAAAACACACCAAAUAAAUGCGCUGGGUGCCAGCGCAUUUUUUUAGGGGUGGAGAUGCCUUGGCCUAUUACUGUUCACUCCAGUCUAUUACUGUUCACUUGAGUGGAUAAAUGCGCUGGGUGCUGGCGCAAAGUCCUUAGGGGUGGACUUGCUCUUAUCUUCUCCUAGACUGCUGCGGAUGUUAUUUCAACAUCUCCUGCACUUGCACUUGCACCAUUCGGCUGAUCGGAUCCCAUAACCAACUCUUUCAAUUUGUCAAACAUUCCGGACGCAGUAACUUCUGCACUCGCACCAAUAUUCAUGAAGAACUCUUUCAGUUUGUCAAACAUUCCGGAUGCAACAACUCCUGCACUUGCACCAAUAUUCAUGAACAAAUCUUUCAGUUUGUCAAACACCUGAAGAAGCUGUUCACGUGCUCUCUGAUACAAACUUUUCUAAACAUCUGCAAUUUCAUGGUAGGACUUUGUUACUGCAAUCACAAUGCAAAUGCUCCAUGCUGCCAUGGCGAACCACCCCAAAGCUGGAACGAUGAUCAACAAUUCUAAGGUUAUGGCGAGUGUCCAGACCAGAGGCUAAUCUUAUCCAUGAACUCCGACAAAUCUGGAUUUUCACGAGCUGGGAACAUCUUGACUGCCAGUGCCCAUGAACUGAUGUAAACCACAAUAGCAACAAUCAAAGCCACUAACAUGUCGUAUUCCGUGGACAACAGAUAUUCUGCAGCUCCAGCUCCGUACCUAAGCUGGAUAAACCCGGCUAGCGUGGGGACGGCAAAGAUAAUACGCUUGUGCAAUGCCCUUGAAGAACUUUGACGAUCAUGUUCCCCGGCCUCGCUUGUGCUAUAUUAUAAAUAUAUGGUUAGAAAAUUAUAUUGGGUUAUAAGCAUUUUCCAUCUAGGUAUAUAGUGAUAAACAUUUUAGACGUAUCAUGGUUCACCACAAGCAUCAUCAAUAUGGUCCAAAUUUAAGCACCUAUUACUAGGUUUUGAAUUUUAUCAUAAAAUGCUUCGGUGAUUUAGAAUUGAAAUCUCCCAUAUUUUCAAUGUGAGAUUCUAACAUAUAAUUUUUCUGACCACAUGAUGUACGAUAAAUGAAUAUGAUUGCUUGAUCUCCAAGAUCCCCACAAAGAGGAUCCAGGGAUCCUUUUCCAUUUACAAUGUGUUAAUAUUGUACAUCUAAAUAACAUUGAUUGAACAAAUCAAAUACUCAGUUGGGAACUUUCUACUUAUUUUUUGCGAAAGAAAAGAAAAUUGUACUUAAUCUUUAUAGUUCAACAUUUUCUUUGUUGGAAAUAUAAUGUAAUCCCAUUUCAAGCCCUCUUAGACAAAAUUCUAAGCUCAACGCGGUGAUAAAUGAAAGCUCUGGUUGCACCUACGUACUCUGCCACACAUUUAAUAUGUGAAGUUUAAUCUAAAGGAAAAUACUUUCAUCAACGCCAUAAGGUGCAUCAUCUUAUCCCAUCCCAUGAGAUUAACCUAUUUUUACCACGAAUUUUAUAAUUAAAAUUGUUCAUUUUCUUGAUUAUUAUUUAAAAACCGUCUCUAAAAAAAUUAAGGCUAAAUUUUUUUCUUGAUCCCUGUAGUGAGACACUACUUUUAAAUCGACCACUGUGGUGAAAAAAGUGUUAAUCUUAACUUUAUGGUGAAGUUUGUUAUCAAUCGUAGUCCAAAUUGAAAUUUAUGUCAAAAUCUCAUCCACAUGUAGGGGUAAAAAGGUCAUUCCAUUCUUUUUUUCUUUUCUUUUCUUUUUGGUAAUCCCACUUUUUUAUAAUCAACAAAAAAAGAGGGAAAAAAAGAAGAAGAAAUCCCUUCCCAACCCCCUGCCCUUUGUCAGGCACAGCCACAACGACCACCCACCACCUUCCCCCCUCUCUCUCACAUAACCCUAGCUAUCCCGUCCACCACCGUUAUCCUUAAAAUGAAACUAAAUACAAUGUUUGCAUAAUAACUUAUAUUCUAACCUAAUAUUUUUUUUAAAUCUUGAAUUUGGACUCUUAGCCCUCUUGAUACGAGAAAGUCUGAUAAUAUGAACCUUGUAAUUUUAUUGUUUAUUUAUUUUUUAUUGUAGCUCUAAAAAAAAAAAAAUUUAUGUCCAUAUGGCGCUUUAUGAUUGGUUGAUGGAAUCAAUAAAAACGAAAAUAACAAUUUUGCCCCUACAAAUAACAGAAGAAUGAGGAAAAAUUCAAUUUGGACUAUGAUUGAUAACGAAUUUCAUGGGAUUACAAUUAAUAGCUUUUUCAUGACAAGGGUCUAUUUAAAAGUAGGGUAUCACCACAAGUAUCACGAAAAAAAAUUGGCCAAAAAAUAAAAACAGGGGAUUUUUUAUUUAUCAUUUAUAUGCAUCAUUUUAAGAUUUCGAUUUAAUUAAAUUUUUUUUGUAAAGAUAAUUAUUAUAUAAUGAUUAAAAAAUGAAUUAUUCUAAUCUUAAAAUUUAUAUGGUGAUAAAUAUGUUAAUUGCAAGUAUAUUUCUGAUAGAGCGGAUAUAAGUAGUUUUGAAAAGUUCGUGGCCACAAGGGCUACCUUCUAAAACAACAUGAAGAAGUGUGAUUGAAAAAAUACUUGUUCACGUGACAAGUAGUAGUAGUAGUUUAAAGUAUAUUAGAGCAGAUAAGAAGCUGGAUAUAGAGGAUGUACUUACGCAUGGCGAGAUGAUAAAGAUGAAGGGGUGCUACUGCUCACAGUCACAGCAGGUCGGUUGCCAGCUUCUUGAACCAUCAUACUCUCAGUGUUGUACAAAGCCAUUUCUCCACAAAAAUAGACUCAGGUCAGAAGCAUGUUAUAUAAUUUCUAACGGGUUUACGAUGUUUACCAGGGGACAGGAAUGCCAUGGAGGAGUUGGUCAGUGGGGCCCACUGUGUGAACAAAGCCCGAAGUACGGUAGGGUAGGGUCAAUGUACUAAGUAAUGAAGCAACAAACAAUUAGCACAGUGCAACCCUGGAGAUAAUUGAAAUCGUAUUGGAAUGCAACAUUUUAGUUAAAAAAAGAUUAAUUGAGUCACAAAAAAUGACAUUGAGAUCAUAAGCAUCAAAUUUGCUUGUAAUUUAUUUUUUAAACAAACGGUGUUAUUUACACUAAGAGAAUAGAAGAUUGAGCAACCUCACACUUAGCUAACCAUAACAAUGUUAUUGAAAUUUAUCUUUGACAAAAUCGAACAUAAAAUUAUUACAUUAAGUUAUCAUCAUGGAACCGAGCAUGAUAACCAAAAAGUUGGCCCAAAUUUCAAAGUUCAAGCAAACCAGAGUAUCUAUGCAUACGGAUCUAAAAUUCAAGGUUAGGAGGGGGGCUUAAUGCAUUAUGAAGAAAUUACACAAAAGCAACCCACAAUGAGACAUUCAGUGGGGCCAAAACGAACCCGAUCGCUCAAGUGGUGCCAAAAGCCAUUGACUUUGAGAGCGAUCACUUUGGAUGGUCAAAUACUCCAAAGAAACAAAAAAGUUAAAACACUCAUCACCACUGGAUUCCGAUCAGCGAAAUUAUGCAUGAAAACCAUAAAGUUGAUCCAAAUUUCGGAGUUCAAGCAAAUCAGGCCUUUUGGACCUUCUUUAUCACUGAGAAUUUCAGGCCUUCUUUAUAACUGAGAAAAGGAAAUCAGGAAAGGGAGUUAAAUUAAAUAUACAAUGACCUACUAUUUUUUUAGUGUCAAAGUUGGUAUUAUUACUUACGUAUAAAUACAAGUGUAUUUUACAUCUAUCUAAUGUCUUUAAUUUUAAUCUCUGCAUUUUAAAUGUUCACUAAUGCCUUCAAUUGUCCUCUGUUUUACACCUCAGUGAUGACACAAAAACUCUAUAGAAAACGUAUCAGAUUUUGACUCAAAUUUCGAGGUGCCCCUAUCAUCUCUUUGAAAACCAAAGCAAUCCCAAACAAUUCCGAAAUCAUUUUUAUGUGUCCCAAAAUACGGUAUGUAUAUCUUUAUCUCAAAUUUAUUAUUGUUUGAAGUUCCACACUACUCAAUGUUUACUAAGACUUUCAUUUGUAUAAGUGAUGUUGCAGCAAAGGAAAUAUCAGACACAACUCUUACUCCAAAGGCUCCAACUAGGUCAAGUAUUUUUGUACGUAAAUAACCAGAUCUGAGUAUUUUUGUGUGUAAAUAGUGCUAUACACAAAAUUUCCAUAUGGGUUUCAAUCCCUUAGGAGGACACUUUUCUGUUCUCUCUUGGGUAUAUUGACGUGUUCAUGAGUGCAAAACUCGUGGCCAACCGCUUACAUUACUUUAGUUUAAAGUAGAAAGGGAAAAGGCAAUGUAGCUUCCAUCAAUUCUUUGCCACUCGUUUUCACUCUAUUUACAACAAUACCAGCCAAAUGGUUGGGUUGGGAGGGUAAUUCUCAAAAAUUCAGAGGGUAGUUUUGUACGUAUGGCUCAAUUUCAUGCUAUAAAAAAAUAAUAACGAGUAGGCCACGCCCAUAUAUGCAUAUCCAAAUCUUAGAUGUCUUAGGUAUUUCUCCCCAAUUCCUUCCUUUUCAAGAGUUUUUUUCCUUUUUUGGACAACAGGCAUUAAAUUUAGGAGGGAUUACAGGCAUUACCCCAUCGUGGGUCCCCCAACGCAUUUUCUGAGCAGAAGUGAACAAAAUAGAGCACAAGGGGUGCAGCUAUCAUAUUUGAAUACAUUUACAAACGUGUUCCCUUUUAAUCACUAAUACAAUACCCCAUCGUGGGUCCCCCCCAACGCAUUCUCUUACAAAAAUACCAGCUAAAAGGGUAAUUCUCAAAAUUCAAAGGGUAAUUUUGUCCGUUUAAUUUGGCACGGAUUGCUGGGUUAUACGCGUGCAUCUCUCACUCUUCCUGUUUUGUCCUUGUCAACCCUAGCAGCCACAACACCAUCUCUGGAAUAUCAUCGGCUUCUGCUUCCUAAAACCAAACCCACUGUUUCUGUCCUUGUCAACCCCAGCAGCCACAACACCAUAUUUGGAAUAGCAUCGGCUCUUGUUUCCUAAAACCAAACCCACAAACACUGGCCUCCAUUUUUGUAACUCGAGAGUUUCGGUGAGACGAUAAUCUUUCAUCUUCAUCUUCUUCCCCCAACCCCCUACCUGCAACCUGGGGAAAAGAAAAA
rnacentral:lncRNA from 1 species